rnacentral:lncRNA from 1 species
CCAGACAACAAUAGCAAGUCUGUUAGGACCCGAAAUGGCCAUCACAACAAACCAGCCGCAGAAGGAACUUCUGGCCCUGAAACUUGGGGUUUUGGAACAGAGAGUUUUACAGCCACCCCUGCUGCCGGCUCUAAUAUUUCCAGACCCUCCAUUGGAGGCAAUAAUGCCCAGCUGUUUGUUGAUUCAGAGAAUAUUAAGGGCAAGCUGGCUACUCAACCUGCUGGAUGGGCUGGUUCCUAACUUAUUUGGUGAGGUUAUAUCAUCCUUGGCACUUCUGGUCACAAGAGAUGAGAAUAGGUAAAAAAGCAAAACAAAAAGGUUGUUUUCUUCUUGAUUUUUGGCUUGUCUUAGGUCUUGAGCCCAAACAACAUCCACUGUCUCUUAAGACCAUAAAUGGUCAUCAUAACAUUUUAUUUGGUAUUGAAGUGGUGUCAGGUAGAGGGGUGGAUUCUUCAUCCUGGUUUUAUGUUACUGUUUUUAGAAAAUUAUUAGUCAAAUGAGUUUUUGGACUGUCUUUAGCUAUUUUCAACUAUUUUUCCAUAUCUUAUCUUAGAUCUAAAUGCAUUAGCUGGACAAUCGAAUGGUGGUUACUUAUCUAACAGAUGUUGUUUUUGGGCUUCUAUAUAUAAACUUUUAGUGUUUCAUUGAUGUUUUUAAUCUUACUGCAGAAUGAAAGAAAACUCAACCCUCUCAUCCGUAAUUCAGAACCAUUUAAAGCCUGGCCAUGGAAUAAGCUCAAGCCUUUCUGUACAGAGUAGCUGGACUCUCUCAAAUUUUUGAUUUGUAAAUAUCCAAAGGUAUUUCCUUUUCCUUGCUGAUUGAUAGUUGUUGACUUGUUGAUUAUCCUGAAAUUCAUGUUUGCCUCCCUUCACACAGCUAUGAUUUCAAAGUCAUUAAAUGUGCCAAUCCCCGUCAACCUCAAUCAGUGUGUUAGACUGUUACCAUUGAUCACCUCAGUCCAAAAGACAUUCCAUUCAGGGAAGAGGAAAUAGAAGAAAAUGGCAGCUCUUGAUGUAUUUUGAUUUUGAUCAAGGCUUUCUUGAUGUAUACUCUGAUGUUUUGCUCGAAUUAAUCCUGAUGAUUUUCUUAACUGGAAAGGUGACUUUUCCCAGUGGAGGAAUUGGAGGAAGGGGAGAUUCCUGGGUGCUGAACUAUUGAUGUUCAUUGCUCUGUUCAAGAAGAACCAGAAACAGGAAGGGGAGAUUCCUGAUCAUAUGUCCUCUAAGGUUCAUCACUUUAGAAUUAUCUCCUGAACAUUCUGAAAUAUAAUUUACUCAUCCAGGUUGAGCUCUAAAAUUAUGGUAAUGGUUAGAAAGCAAAGCCCUCUUCCAGAAUUUAUGGUCUUGUCAUUUUGUUUUCUCUCCAGUGUUGAAACUUUCCCAGUCUUACAGAAUUUUGUUGUUACUCUAAACAAUGAAUAGGAUUCAUUUAUACAUUAAAUCGAUUGAAGAGAUUUGGAUUAUACAAAAUAGGAAUGAAGUUAUACAUAGAAACCCCUAGAGUUCUUGUAUAAAUGCUAUAACAAACACCACUGAAAAUGCAGAAUGAUCCAUUUCUGUUCCUUAUUAUUUAGUUUGAAGGAAACAUUGAUGAAUCCCUUGCUUUGCAGAUUGAACCCUGGCAUUGAGCUGAUGCUUCAUAAUGUGUUAUUAUAAGAGACAUAGGCUGCCCGAGUUGUCUGAAUAUACCCCAUAGUCCCUCUGAUGCCUGUGAGUGUUCUAGUCUGGUUGCUUAUCAGAAGCUUUCCCAGUCCAAGUUUGCAACUUUGGCUGUAGAAGAAUCAUCCAAGAGUUAUGUUCUGAGGGCUUUAUGUCACAAUGGAUGAUCUGUUUACUGCAUUCUUCAUGUAGGUACACAAGUCCUCGGGCGCCUCCAGAAAGGAAGCUUGAUAAAGAGCCAUUGUGCAUAAAAAAAAAACACCAGUAGUCAGUGUUCACCCUCACAACAGUAACGCAGCAAGUGUCCUUGAUUCUUAUGGUGAGUUUGGCCCAUCACAUUCACUUCUGCUUUGAAUUCUUUCUCAUCUUCUCCCACCACCUUCUCCAACUUUUCAGCAACAGAAUUUCCAGAACCUGAUGGUAAUAUCCCUUUAUAGACAGUGCCAAAGGCUUCUACCAUCGCUUGUACUCAGGAUUCUGUGAUAAAGCUGCAGAUUUUUGAGGUUCAAGCAGUAGAAAACUAGAGAAAUUGCAGCCAGAGAAAUGAAGAAGAAGAACACAGAGGGGCCUAAGAGGACUGAGUAUUAGAAUUGCUUUAUUUUGGUUGCCUCUGCCUGAAGUUAGUUCACUGGACUUCAAUAUCUUGAUUAGAGCACUUCUGGAAACAGCAGUUUGAUCCAACCUCCCAUUUGAAAGAGGUAGUCUUUUCCUCCAACAGCUUCCAGUUCCAUUUGGAAACCUCAGGUCCUCAAAAAUAGCUACUGCACAGUAGGCUCCAACACCAAUCCCUGGGUUGGCAACUCAGGUGCUUGAAGCUCUCCCAUACACUGGUAUGCAAUUUCCAUCUCCAAGCAUGGCACCAUGCACUGGUUCGCUGCUCACAUUACCAGUCUGUCUUCCAUAUAUCUUAGCCUCUGGAGAACAAGCUGUCUAUUGGUGGUAAACCCAACUUUUGAUCCUCUUGGCACCGGUUAACUACCAUUUGCAGUCCAGAUAGCAAGAAGGAAUAGGUCCUCUUCACUUGGAGAGGGUCGGAAUCCAAAUGCAAAAUCACCAGAAAGGCAAAGCCCAUGUGGAGUUUUCAUCAGUGGCAUAAAGAGAUGAACCCAAGCUUAUAUUACUAUAAGCUUGGCUGAUGAGUAACAAGUAGAGGUAGAGAGACAAUGUAAGUUAUUACGUGAAUAAUUGGUCACCCGACUGCUUUUCUCUGCAUGUUGAUUAAGUUGAAAGAGACUAGCGAAUAUUAUUUUCUUCUAUAAUGAACAUUCUCCUGUAAUUGAAUAGUGUGAAAGCAAUUUUUUCUUCUUCUUCAACAAAUGAAUAUUGAGAGCAUAGAAUUACAGUAAGUGACAGCUGAUAAGAUGUCCUACUAUUGAAUCUGACAUAUUUCAGAAGCUCUGUUGUCUUCUGCAAUAUGUUGAUAUAUAUCAUGCUCACCAAUUCUCGGAACAUUUUAAACCUACUCAAGCUUUUCAAACUCAUCCCCUUGAUCUAGAUCCUUCCAGGGUGAUAUAUAUCAUAAACAUAUAUGAACCUGGCAUGAACAUUCAUCUGCCCAGAUAAAACCAGAUCACAAAGGAGACGUAUACUUCGCCAAUCUCUAAGUAUAACCAAGGAGACAUGUACAAACCAAACAGCUUAUCCCCAUGAAAGAACAAUUCCUAAAACACAUUGAGUGGGAGUUUUAGGUCUUUAUCUGCAAUUCGACUCCAAGUUUUCAUUGAGAACAUUUUUCUUUCCUUAGUCUUUUGAAGCUAGUGAUCUUGAUAAAGUCUCUACAAACCAUGUUUGGGGGUCAUUGUAGUGCAAACCAAAGUGUCCCCAGUUAUAUGAAUGUAGGCCACCACAGCACCAUAGAUUCAUGGAGUUUCGAAUGUUUCUGCAAUUUGGAUCAAAUUAAGAUGAAGUUAAUGAGCUUCAAGAUGAAGUACAACACACUUUUUUGCCAUUUUUUCUGUGAUCAAAAUAAUGGAGUUCGAGUUUUUCCUCCUGGAGUUUGGAGAAAAAGAGAGAUACAAGAAGAGAGUGAUCUUCUAAUUGCUAGCUGUAAAGGUUUAAUGGCAUUUGUCAUUUGUCAAAUGUAACAUUCUUGGCGCCCAUUUGGAUGAUGCAGUUUGACAUGUAUUUGUUACAUAUUUUGCCUUGAUUGAAUUAUGAUUAAUCAGCAUUGAACCACCACCUAGUCAUACCCAUCCUGAAUACUAUUAAAACUCAUUCGAUUUUCUAGGUCUUAUAGGGUGUUUGGUAAUCAGUCAUUGACUUAAUAACUUAAUUUAAUUAUUAAAUAUAUUAAAUAUAUUUGAUAAAAUAACUUAAUAUUAUAUUUUAAAGUUACUUUUAAUUUUAAGUGUUAAAUCAAAAUAAUUAACUUAUUCUUAAUCUCAUUUUUUUUUUCAUUUAUCUACAUCUAGUUAUCAAAUUAAUGAAGGUAAAUAUGACAAUUUGAAAAUUUAAAAUGAUUUUUAAAUUAGCUUUAUCAAAUAACUUUAAUACUUAAAGUAAAUAUUAAAUAAUAAAUUUUAAGUAAAUAACUUAAAUAUUAUCUAACUUAAAGUCAACUUAAGUUAUUAAGUAAUAUAUAUUAAGUUUUAUCAAAUAAGCCUUAAUCAACAACUUAAAUAUGGGAUCUCCUCUACUUAGCAUUGCAAUUAAUGUUAAAAUUCUCUAUUUAUUUAAUGACAUAUAAACUUUUAUUAAAUAAGAAUAUUUACACAAUGUGUAUAAAAAUAUUUCAAUGAAGUUUGUAUUAAUCAUUUCUUACUAUUUUAUACUCUUGAGGUAUUGAUUAAUAAGGUCAAUAAUUUAAUUUAGUGUAAUUACUCAUUACUUUAAUUUUCCAAAAAUAUGACAAAUUAAUACAUCUCAACCAUAAUAUGAAUUUUUAUAUAUAGAGUACAAAUGUUCAUACAAUAUGCCAUCUUUCAAUGAAUCUAAUUCAAAAAUGUAGUCUUAUCUUAUGAUUCACACCUUCUAAUCUUUUCUUAUUAUUUUAUAUUUUCUAGGUAUUAAUUAAUGAGAUCCUUAAUCUAAGCAGUUUUUUUUUUUUUCUCUGUCUAUAUAUAUAACAAAUCUAAUCAAAUUAUGUACAUGGACAUGUAGAGUCUCUUUUUGCAUCAUUUAUUUUAAUUAAUGUAACAGAUGUGUAUAUCUUUUUUUGCAGAUGUCUAAGGGCUAAUGGAGUUGUGUUUCAUACUAGAGAUAGAAGGGCGACAAGGUUUAUUUUUCACUUUAUUACAUGUACAUUCCUUUGACAUGGCUUCGAGUAUACAUUAAGCCAAGUCAUUUGAGUUGAAAUGCUUAUACAAUACCUAAAAUUGAAAGAUACCUAAUUUGAUAUUCCAUAUCGAAUAAGAAGAAAUUCAUGAUAUUAUAUACAUAUGAGUUGCUCUUAACCAUGUGGAUGCAAUUUAAAGUGAUGAUGAUCCAUUGAAAUUAAAGCGGAUAAUGUUUACACAAUUGGAAGAAUCAUUAUACCCUGGUGUCACUUAACUAUUGAGCACCAACCUAAGCAUUCCUCUAUUAACUUCACAACAAGAUGAGAACAAAAAAUCAAACUACCCUAAAUUUCUUUCUUUAUUUUUCUUAUAUCCUUUGUUUGGUUGUGGAGAAUGUGAAGGAUCAAUCAAAAGUUUUGGCAUUAAUUUUAUAUCCACAUUAAUUGUUUCACUACCUAAACUUAAUAACAUAUAUCUAUAUAUAUAAAUGAUUUUUAAGUUUUAAUUUCAUUUCUUAGUUGGAGGAUUAUAGCAUGGAAAAGUAUUUAAGUAUAUAUUAGAUGUUGUGCACAAACUCUGGUAAAUUAAAAGUUUUUUACAAUAUAAUUAAUUUUACCUUUAAAAUAAAUUAAUAUUAGAUGAGUAAUUUAAUAGGAUGAGACAAUUAAAAAAAAUAAAGAGGAGAAUCCAACCAUUUAAUAGUGUAUGAUAUUCAACUUUCAUACAAUAUUUUAUUAAAUAUCUGAAAUGUAAGCCAUGUAAUUAAUUUUGUUUUUUCUAAUUUUUGUGGUAUUUUUUAAUCCUCAAUUUCUAUUGAAUAAAUAAAAAUAUUGAUAACAAUUAAUAUGACAACAUCUCUAGACUACCUAAUGUUGUUGUCAUUGUCAUGUCCCAAUUCAGAAAUGUUAACCCGAUUGCCUUUCAAAGCUCGCACAUUGUGCGUUGUUAGACGGGCUUCCCCCGUCUCUUAAGAUUGACUAACCCAUGUGCAUGUGUUGUUCACAUGGAACCUUCCCAUCACAAUGAAAUUUCAAAGAUUACCCGGACCUGUCGGUCAAGGUUAUAGACUCGUUGAAUACAUUAGUGUAACGCAUAUGUGCCUAAAACAUCUAAUGGCAUCACAGACCUAUUAUCACCUCAAACUUCAUUGGCCUAAGCGAUCAUGGUCCCUCUAAGAAGCUAGCUAUAAAGGUUCACCUUCACAUAGCUAGUUAGCACUCCUUUUAGUAUUAGUUUUUUUUUUUUUUUUGGUGUUUUUUUGGGUUUGAAAAGACUAAAGAGCCCAUCAUAUGAUGACGUGGCACUACAGUAUUGUUGGACGCACAAAAAGUUUGAGUAACUGCAUAAACUCCGAUCUACAUGUAAUGCAUGCAAAAGAAAAUACAUGCGACAUGUCUAAAGCCCUCCAGUUUCCACACUAAAACCUCUCCUAACAAAAAUUAGUACCCAAAACACCACCUUAAAGAGUGGGCCAUGCCUUAAAAUCUGGAGGGUAGUUUAGGUAUUUGAGAGACUACCACAAAUUUAGUACCAAAAAUACCCCCAAAAAGAGCGUCAUGCCCUAAAAUUUGGAAGGCUUUUUUGGGAUAUGUAGAGAAUAAUGUGGGCUCAGCCAUGGGUUGUCUUUUUGUAUUAAGUAGAUGAUGCUUUGUAAAGAAGAAUCAAAAGCAAAAAUGGUGAUUAGAGGGUCUCUUCUUGUGUUAUUAUCUGCUAUUGUUGGAUCAAUGGCCCCAAAUAUUUCAGAUAUUUUGUUCAACAUGCCAUGUAACACCUUACAAACUUCCUGUUAAGUACAUUCUUUAUUGGCAGCUGUCAUAGGGAAAUAUUUUAGAAACUUUUACUAUCUUAUAUUUAGCCUCAAACAUUGUGUUAGCACAAGAAUCAUCUAGUGUGUCGGAAACAACUCUGAUACCACUUGUUAUGCGGAGACAAUUGAACAAUAAACAACAAAACAACAAAAUAAACCAAAAAAUAACUAACGUGAUUCAAGAAUGUGCUUACAUCCAUGGGAAGGGAAGAAAUCAACUCACUAACCUAAUUUUUCUUUGCUUUCCAAGAGCCAAACCAAGGCUAAAUUUAUAGAAUUUCCCUUUCAAGUUAAGUUACAACAUCAAUUGAUAGCUUACAAGAGGUCAACUCGAAUAUUUACACAUAAGACUCAAAAAGACAGUUUUAAGUAAAACAAUAUUACAAUAGAUGGAAUACUCUUAGAAGAUUUUAGAAAUACCACUUAUCAUCACCUGCUAUUAUUCCAUUUGACACAACACUGCAUGAUUGGGAUGCAGAAAACAUGCAUCUCCAUGCAACAUACAUAAAUUUGGUCUUGCGGGGUUAUCUACUGUUCCUAUGACGAUAGUUUCUGGGAGUGAAUAGAUUGCUUUACUCUAUUCCUAGAAAAACUAACCACUAGAAGGUGUCAUAAAUUCUUGAAAUUAUGGGAUCAGAAAUGGUUGCACAUGCAGGUUAUAUUUGUACAAUAAGAAGUUUGAAAGAGUAACUAGUUCCAAUUGAUUGUUACCUCUAAAAGUGUUCCAAACCCAGAAGGCAAUAGCUUGGAAAGACUUCCUUGGGAUAAUGGAAGUUUGUUUGCUUGGUUGAUAAGAACUUAUUUCCCCGUUCACCAGUGCUGGUCUCAAGACCACAAGCAUUGCAAAAUGAUUCCACAUCUAAUUCCUACAAGAAUGCAAAUGAAGUCUUCAAGGUUCAAAAGAAAUUGGAACUUUGGAUGACAAAUUUUAGCAAUUUAAUGCUAGUAAAUGCAAUCAUACCUUCAUCAUCAAGAGUUUGGACAAGUGUGCAAUUGGAUAUGGAUGAAGUUUGUAGCCACAAUAAUUUACACAUGACAAUGCCAAUGCUCGAACCUUUUACGGUCAAAAGAAAACCAACAAAAAUGUAUAUAAAUCAGGCAUGUCUUUUAGAAGCACUAAAAAAAGGCAGUUGAGAAGAACUUCUAAAUAAGACCUAGUUUAUGAAACAAGCUAAUUGAAUUUGAACACUUCAGAUGAAUGAAGAAAGUGAGGAGCAAUAAACCACAUAAAGAAACAGUUGGUGAGAAAUUUAACAAUAAUGAAGUACAACUACUAACAAAAAUGAAAGAAAAAUAAAACCCAAAAGCACAAGUACUCGAGUCUAGAUUUGAGAUAUAUUCUCAGAAAUGAAACUGAAAAAUAAUAAAUGAACAAAGAAGCAUAUAUUUUUCAAACUGAAAAAUCUAGCAAAAUCAACAUAUUUAAGCAACCUCAUUGAUGUAAGGUUCAAUAAUGUAGUACUGCAAAUAAGAUGCCUCAGUUGCUGUAGUACAAAGGAAACGCUUAUAAUUGCCCAUCCGAAAUAAUCUGUUACAAGAAAAGACAAAUCUUUCAGUUCAUGAAAACAAAAAUUUUAACAUUGGGUACUAAAAGAAGAGAAAAAAAAUCGAUUGAAAAUCGAAUCUAUAAUAGCUUUGUGGUCACCUUAAAAGUCUUCGGGCAAAACACAUUUCCUUUGACUUCAAAAUGAGAGAAGGUACACGACCCAACCACAAAGAGAGUGACUCUCCCUUCAGAACAGAAAUAGUAACAUAUUCAGAAACCAGUACAAGGCUACAAGAGAUACUGAAAAAGAUGAACUCAAACAAACAAUGGAAGCAAGUAUCCACCAAUGGUUGGUUGUUAGAGCCAAGAUGAAGAAGAACGUGAAAUGAGCAAAACUCAGGUUCAUUCUUGUAAAUAGAAUUUGAAUUUCGAUUUUCUUCGUAUAGAGCAUAUAGAGAUAUCAGACACUUUUUCAGCUGCUCCAUAUUGAGGUAAUGAACUGAAGAAAAAUUUGGCUUGUUGCUACAACUGCGAAGCUUGUGGUGGGAUAUAAUAUGAAAUUUCACCUAUAUUAUGAAACAAACCACAAGUCAGAACAUAAGAUGCGGCUUUUAGCUAACUCCAAGGUUUUAGGAUGAGAUUAAAAUAUCUAAUCAAUUAUCAUAAAAAAACACAAGUCAUUCAUAUGCAUGUUUCUUGUGCAUUCUAUUGCUUGGCUAAAAUUGUUACUGGCCAUGAAUUUGUUCCUUUGCUUCAAGAAUUUGAAUCAAAAGUGAGAGAGAUAGAAACUAUAGAAAAUUUUAAGGAACAAAUUGAUGGAGUUCUUGUUAAAUAAUUUCCUCAUUUUUCCAAAUUACUAGGAUAAAGAGAUAAAGGUUUAAAAAACUUUAAGAGGGGGAACAGGAAAUACAACUUUUGAAAUAUGGUUAAGAAACUUCUAUGAUUGGGAAUUAGGAGCCUUUUUGUAGGCAUAUUCUACAAAGUCAGCAAGUGUACUGGAAAACUUGACAUUAUGGAAGAGAGCAUCAAUUCCCAUCACAUGUGGUGUGAGUUGCUUUGGUUCUAUGGGUCUUUCAUAACUUGGAGGGUGACUGGAAAUAGACACUUAAUAGUGGAUAAUUUAAUUAGAACGGAUUGGAUAAUAACUAAUGUGCCAAGAAAGAUUUAGAAUCAGACCAUUCAUUUAUCCAUUGUAAAGUAGGCUUCAAGUAGUGUGAUCACAGUUUCACCUCAUUUGGACUCCACUGAAUAAAUUAUCUUAUUCAAUAAAGCAAAAGGAGAGGAUAAUGACUCAAUUAUUCAACAUUUUAUAUCUUGUAUACUUUGAUUAUUUUCUCCAACUAGGUGAGUGUUUAGCAAUGGGUUGGCUAACUUAUUGUAUGUUGAGGAGAUGAAUGCUCAGAAAAAAAAGGUAAUUGAGAUUAUGUUUCAAGAAAUUCAUACCAUUUCUUCAUACAUAUGAAUUGUUUGAUCAUUAACGAUAUUCUGCAUGCUAAGAUCUUGUCUUAUUGAUCUUGUCCUAUCAAAGACGAAAUCAUGAACCACUUCAAAAGGAUGUUCCGUGGCAUCCAACAGGUUUAAUAGGUAGUUCAAAGUCUCUUCCAACACUGGAAGUGGCCGCACAUCUGACGCCUACAUGUGCUUAGUGGCAAUGCUUCUGCAAAACUAGUGAGAGAGAUGGAGGGUGAACGGCCUUCUGCAUCAAAAUAUAGACAUUUCAUGGCAUUAUAAAAUAUCAAGGAACAAAUUGGAGAAAAAGAAUCCUACAAUUUAUAGCAUCUUCAUUUCUCAUGCAUCAAGUGUAUAAAUGAUUAUAAGCUAAGAUGAUAUUGAAUCAAAAUAAUAAAAAUGACAAGAGAUAAAAUCAUGACACCUAACAUAAACUUUACAAGACGUUGCAUUAUGAUAGAUUAAUAUUUUGCUAUAAUAAUGUUAUGCAAUUAAACAUAUGGAAGGAAAAUUAAAAGUAAUUAUUUUAACAACCUACACUCAACCGUAUAGAUAUUAUCCACCUUAUACUUAAGGGGCCUUCAUGACUUUAAAAUACGUUUACAAGGAUAAAAGAAGUCUAUAUACAUACAUACAUACAGACAUAUAUAUAUAUAUAUAUAUGUUAGGAACUUUUCCCCCUAUCUAAUGUAAGAUAUUACAAUCACCCUCUUUCUCAUGUAGACACAACGUUCUUGUUGUGUCCAACAAGAUUGUAGGGUCAAAUAAACGGACACCCAUUUCAGGCCAAACAAACUCUUCCACCAAGGUCGAGUAUUGACUUUGAUACCAUUUGUAACAACCUGCUCCCAAUUGUGUGGAUAUUAUUUGCUUUGAGCCUAAGCGACCCUCACGGCUUAAAAACGAAUCAACAAAAUUAAAAGAAAUUCAUACAUAUAUAGCACUAGAAACUUUUUCUUCUAUACGAUGUAGGAUAUUACAAUUAUACACUUUGACAAAGACAAAAACAACCAAAAGAACAGACAAGACAACAAACACUUAACAAUGAUUGAAUAAAGAUAUAUGUUUAAAAAACACAAAUACCACUUGUUUGAAGGCCUUUUCCUGAGUUCGAUUCCACACUAAUGGUAAAAGAAGAAACAAGAUAGAACCUAUUGUAGGCUAACUUGCCUUUGUUUUUUCCUUUUUCAUUAUGAAACAUAAACAGUUUUUGCAAAAAAUAUAAAGUUGAUUGGUGAUCCUAUAGCCACAAUUAUAAAGAAACAAAGAAAGCAAACAAGCAAAAUAAACAAAAGCAUCCCAACCAAGACAAGAAGAUUACCAUUUAGAAAGCAUAACACAGGCUACAACCUAGAGCACACCCAAAAUUGAAACCACAGGACUCCCAAGGUCAAGGGAGAAGCAAAAUUUUUACAAACCCAACAGGAGAGGUGGCAAUCCUUUUAAGCAAGCUAUUGUCUUCCUAGUUAACCUAUCUAGGACUCCACAAAAAAAAUUUGCAAUAUAAGCCUCUUGCUAGAGUCAAGAUCCAGAAAGCAUCUACUCGAAGCAUUAUUUUAACUGGAGUAGUUCAUAAAGCAUAAGUAAAUCAACAGGUUGCGGCCACCUAACAAUACAAGAGCCAACAGAAAAAAAGGAGCUGCAACUUGAAGAUUUCGCAAUAGGACUUUGGUUACAAUACCAAUUUUAGUGACAUGAUGACAAGCCUAUGAUAAUUAGCCUUAAAAUUGAUAUCAAGCAAAAUUUGAAGUAUCCUUUGAUGGCAGCAGGGAGUUGUGGUGUUUUUUUCUUGGUAUAGUUUCAUAAGGUAAAAGCAUAAGAGGCAAGGGGGUCCACAUCUUGCUACAAUAGGCAUAAACCCUCAAGGGGUUGAGCCGCGGGGCCUAAGCGCUCCCUAAAUUUUCAAUUUUACUAAAAAAAAUAUAAUUUUUUUAGCACAAGAAAAUAGAUAAUAAAUGAGUUUUUUUAAAAAAACUAUAGAAAGGUUUAGCCUAUUCCAUACAUUUUAGGAGCAUUUAAUACUCAUAGGAACAAUAGAUUAAACAAAAAAAAAAAGAAAAGAAAAAAAAAAGUUACAUGAUAAUAAUAGUGCAACAACAAUUGAACAAAAUAAAGCACACCCCACAAUAAUAAGGAAAAAUAAAUUAAUGGUGGCUCCAUCAAAUUCAAAUGUCACUAAUUCAAAAAAUUAAAAAUAUAAAAUAUAAAAAUAAAAACUAAGAAAAGAAAACAAAUGAGAUAGAUGUAAUAUCAAAUAAAAAUAUUGAAUAGUGAAUCAAAUGGGAUCAUUAAAAUUCAAACAAUAAUGCUUUGCACAUCAAGAAGCAAAGGAAAAAAAAAAAAAAAAAAGUUUCAGCAAAUGCUUGAUCAACAACAAACACAAAUCCAACAAUAGCACCGAUAUAACAAGGGAAAAAACAAGUUUUCUACUAGAGAAACUAAAAAAUCAGUUUGGCAUAAACCCUGUAACAGAUCAAUAGCUUAUUAGCAUAGUCUUACUUUACAGUACCAUUAAGAUAGGCUUUGGUGUCUAACACAGAUACAGGUCAUCCAACACAAUCACAUCCAUAACAAAACAAGACAAGAGAAGAUAAAACAAAACAAAAGCACAAGUAUCAGUGCCUGAAUUAGUGCUCAAUAAGUGCACAUGUUGAUGGCUGAUAUGGUAAAGAUGAUUCAAUAAGAGUAUCAUUGUCCGAUGCAAGAUGAGAAGCUAAGAUGCGGUAUAGAGGCAUGAGAUGUAGGGUUUACCUUUUUGACAGCAAGGCUUGGAGAUGUUUUCCCAGGAUUUCCAUGUAACCUCUCAAACACAGCUAAGUCCCAAAGGCGUUCACGUUGGGCCCUUUCUCCAGCUAUUUAUUACAAAUGAACAUCAGAGAUAAGAGUUGUUAAAAGAAAUUACAAAGUAUAAGCUGCUGAAAUAAUUAAACAACUUCUUUAUUAAUAAUUCAUAUGAAGCCCUUGAAAAUUCAAUAGCAAGUAAUGUGAUUGCAGAAAUCCUGAUCAAAGAAUCAGAAUAAACUCAUCAGGAAAUAAAUACAAGCAUAAGAAAUACACAAUUUGAGUAAAUAGAAAGGAGUAGACAUAUAAAAUGCAAAUUAGCUAGAUCAUGGCAGCAUGGGUUUCAAAACAUUUUAAUUUGCUUGCUUGCAAAGAGAAGCAUUAGUCCCAUCGAGUGUUUUUUCUAUUUCAACCUAUGGAAUAAGAAAGGUCUUAUGGAAGCAGGGUCGUGUAAUUUGCUUUCUACUAUAUUAGUGGCAACCAACCUGUAAUAGCAAGAAAGGAAGAAAAAAGGAAAAGAAUGGUAUGAUGUAGUUGUGAGACUGCAUACUUAAGGAAUUUAGUUUAAUAGAAGAUGAAUGUGUUUAAUAUGAGAGUUCUCUUGAUCACUAAGCAUUUGAUGCAAAAAUAUCCCAUAUAAGGAGUUGUGCAAUCUAGAAUACAAAUACUUUAGUACCAUCAUCUGGAUGGUAAAACCAGAAUAACUAUGCUCCAGAAGCAUAAUUAUACAGCUGGUAGGAACAUGAUGCACAACCACCCAAAUCAGCAAGACAAAGAACAGGAUAGAACUUGUUGGCACAACCAAAACAGGACGAAAUCCAUAAUAAAGUCCUCAAUUACCAAUCUAUGUACGACACAACACCAUUCAGAAUGCUACAACAGAUUCACAUUUGACAGGAGAGUUUAUAACUGCCAAUGGAACAUUACCAAGUAGCAGACAUGUCUUAUGUAGUUUGGGGGGAAAAUGAUUCCUAUUAUCUGUGUCAAGACAAAUACCAGCUUCGGAGAUUCUAAUCUGGUGAAAAUCUCAAAAUUUUCCAUAAACGUAAUCCUUUGCAUCAUAAUUUGUUAUUUAUUUUAGUAAGGAAUCAAACAAUCAUUAAUGGAAGAAGAAAAGAUAUACUAGCAAGCUUGAAAAUUGAGGAAUUUUCAAGAAAAAUCGAAGAAAAUUACAUCACCAAAAAGUAACAUCAAGGGGCAUUGGCCAAACCUAUCCAAAAAAGAGACAACACUGAACAACCCAACAGCCUACUGUAUAGCUCUAGCUAAUAGAUCUAGGUUUUGCAUACUCCAUAACAGAAUAAAGUCCUUCCAUCAUGUAACAUAAUAUCUCUUUUUUUCCUUAUAACAAAUGAGAAUUUAUUGAGUUAAACAAGAUAAAAAAAGAGGGAUGAUAUGCAUGUAUGGCAAGAAGAGAACAGAAAAGCCGCUCCAUGCCUCAAACCAAUCAAAGAGCGGUAAGUGUUCUCAAUAAAAAAUUUCAGAUAUUAGCAUCCCUAUAAGAAAAAUAUAGCCAUGCACCUGGCUAGCUGAUCUGGGCCUCAAUAGAGAAGAACAAGCAAUGUCUCUAGCAUGAUUAUGAAGCCACCCCAUCUGAUGAGCAAUCCACUAAGGACCUUUGCCUUCAAAGAAGGUUCUAAGACAAUAACAAAGGAAUCCCCUUCAAUAUGGAGGUUCAUUACAUCCAGGCAAACAACCAUGUCCGAAUCUUCCUCGAGUGCUAAUCACUCAGCUUCAAUAACCAUUAAAGAGUCUGCAGUUUGAAAAACAACCUCAAAAUAUCCAGUCCCUUUGAGCCAUCCAGGUUCAAGGACCUUCCCUAUUCAAAGUAUGUAUCAUACAUGAAACCCCAAUCUAUGUGAUCAUAAACUUCCUCAAAACCUAUUUUAAAAACCAUCUCUUCGUCCUUAGAACAGAAUUUUUUAUCUAGGAUUUCAUUACUAAUGAUAACCACAUCUAGAAUUUGCCUUCCAUUAACAAAAGCCCCUUAAGCUAGAGAGAUGGCACUAUUAAGAAACUUUCUAAAGCAACCCAAGGGUAAAUUGGAAGUAUUCUCCUAAAAACUAGUGACUGGGUUGACAGGUAUAAAAUCCCAAAUCAAGUUGGAUCCCUCUUUCUGAAGAUCAAGAUAAUGAAGCUGGAAUUGGUGCUUCACAACUCAGUAAUAGUUCUUCACUCACCAAAUUUUUGUGAAGGAACUUUGGGGUGAAGAAGUAUCAGUGGUUAUUCAUUACCUCAUUAAUGUGAAAGUCUUCGAUUACUUUUAAUCUUAAUGAUUUCCCAAAAAUCUCGUUAAACCUCAAAUCCACAUUGAGAAGACAUGAGAUUAGAGGCGAUAAGCUCAAUAUCUACCACAAGCUGAAUCCUACCCAUUCUUCUAAGAAAUCUGCCUCUUCAUUUUCACAUUUCAAAGUCUACAAGAAGGUGACCUCCACCAUAGCAGCAAUAAGCCCAACCUCUCCAUGCAGCUAAGGGGAUGGACUGUAAAUUCAUUCUGUUGCUCAUACUUUUCUCCUAGUAGUCCUAGGACGUGUAGCUUAGCAAUUGCAACAAAGUUAUCCUCAUAUCCUCUGACCAAAACUUUCUCACAUUACCCAACUUAUCCUUAAAUUCCAUAAGUAGUAAUUAUGAUAAAGUUAUCCCCAUAUUUUUUGACAAAAUUAUUUUGCUUUUAUGACACUGAACUUUGUAAAACAAGUGCUUAUCAUUGUUAACUGGAUGGCCAAUCUGAAGUUGUAAAUCAUUGUUCUGAACAAUACGAACAUUUUUUGUCAAGAAUCACCCUAGCACUUGGUGACCAAUGCCAGCAUUUUUUGGUCAAGAACCAGCCAUACAUUUGGUACAUUUUCUGGAAUAGGAAAAAUGGUGUCACAAUAUUACCUUUCACACCUUGGCAUAAAUACCUUUCAAGUUGUGUGCAGACAUCAUCAGCCUGUCAUGGGUGAGUCAUCUGCUGAGAAACUGUUACUAGAAGUUGGGUAAUGAAUCACAGGAUUGUGAAAAACUGGUCCAUCAAGUUAAGCUCUAUCUGUUGCAAGGUCAAAAUCAAAUGGAAAUGUCAGCAAAUGAGCACUGUGCCAACCGGAAGAUUGCAAUUGGCAAUUGGGGUUUUCUCUUCUCCCUCUCCUUCCUUCCUUCCUUGUGGCCAUACUGCCGAAAUUCAGUGGUGACCAAAUAAUGAAACUUGCCUACCAGUUUAUGGGCCUUAUCAAGUUCUGGAACAAAUUGGUACUGCAGGCCUGCAGCACACAAGUCAAAUCUUCCUUCCUCAGCCCACAUCCACCCACCCUUCAUGCUUCCUAGUUCAAAAAGAAGUUGGGCUCUGUAUGGGGAGAAUACAUCAAUAUUCAUACGGUCAUGCACUCCCCAAUCACUUCCAAAAGUAGAGUUAAGGUGACCUAUCCAUCCCAUCUAAUUUUACAGUACAAAAUCAUGGUUCACAGAAGUGCUUCCAAGGCCUAACCAGAAAGUAAAAAGGUAUAAAAAGCCUUCAUCCCUACUCAACAGGUAACUGAUUCACAUUAUGACCUCUCUGUUUUCUCUUAUUUGCUCGGGAAAUUAAUAACAGCAUCAGAGAGCCUUUGGUCAGUGUCACACCAGUAUUCAGCCAAUUGCAGGUACAUAGGAAAGUCCAUAGUUUUCUAGGCUGAAGGUGUGGUAUCUGAUUUUAAUCCAUUCAAGCAGAAGAAAUAAUUAUGUCAACAGGCCUCUUCAUUGCCACCUUCAACUGUGAAAGGCUAUUUGCAACUUGAACUUAAAAAAAAAUCUGAUGAUGAUUAGUACAACAAUCAGACAGUCACAAUGUUCUCAUUGACUGGAAGAACUUGCCAAUUGCCACAUAAAUGGACUUCUAGGAGGCUAUUCCACUCAGAAGCAUGUCACCAAAGUUCUUGCCAUGACAACAUAGUACUAACUUUGGGGAGGGGAGGGGAGGGAGGAGGAAACAUAAUCUUCCAAUGCAUGUUCCCAUACAUGGAAUGAACACAUACCAAAAGACUCCAUAGUGUUCAUCUCUACUCUAUGAUUAUCUACAUUGUGAAAAUCUCUAGCAUCACUUGUAUGUCUUUGGGUAUAACAUGAACAAUUUGCAUCCUUUUAGCACUCCCUAAUGUAAGGAUAAUAAAUAGAAUUUAGUCAUUUAUAAUCAAUAUCAACACCCUAUGCUGAUAUAGAGUGAAUUCCAGAUAUACAAUGAAAUUAUUCUCUGAACAUGAUAGGCUGGCCACCAGUCUUACCAGAAUUUUCCUACCAUUUGUACAGAAUAGCACAAGGGUUGUCACAUCAGCAUGUGGAACCGGUGGCAUAAAAGGCAGCAAGACAAGAAAUGUCCUUAUUUUGUUCGUAUGAGAAGGAGAUAAAUCAAUUUGGCCAUAUAUGUGAGCAAAAACAAAAGAAAUCCCUUUCCCUUCUCAUGGAGCAAUAAUCAUAAACAAUCAAAUUUCUUCUGGAGUCUUAAGAUCCAGUAAUUCAAGUUUUCAACACCAUUUGACAUUAGAAUAAAUGCUCUACUCCAAAUACAGUGUUUGAUUACAUGUAAACCUGACAUGGUAAAGGAAAAGUGAUAAAAGAGGUGGUAAGUCCAUUUUCCAUUAUAAAAGAUUUGGGGGAAGUAAAGGCAAAAGCGAAUUUUUUUUUGGGAUUCCUACAUCUUCUUCAGAUUGGUAUCUAAUAAAGGGGGGAAAUAUCAAUUUUAUUUGUAAAAUUUAUGUAAAGCCACAAAAAUGACACAGAAAUUCCAGAUUCACUUCUCUUUUCUGCUGUUUUCCUCCAAUUUCUCGGAAACCAAACACAGAAUAACAGGAAAAUAGAAUUUUAAAAAAAUGGAAAAAUAAGCACGCAUUUUUACCAGGGCACAUGAAUGGGCAAGUUCCAACUAAGGAGAGAAGAUUGUUCGGAUCUUGCUCUCCUUCCUCCUCUUGCUCUGGUCUUUGUGGCUUCCCACAUUUGCUUUUCAAUUGGUGAGCAUCCUCCAGGGAGUUACUAGUUUUUGGGGGAUUCGAGGAGAAUUUCUCUGAGCGGAAGCUCGAUGAGGAUGAAGCUGGAGAUGAAAAGGCAAAAGAAGAAGCAGAAGGGUUUCUCCGUUGCCUCCGGUCCAUGACGGCUUGUGCUCUGGUUUCAGCUAGGACGAUCCAUUUUGCCAAGAGCAUUUAUUUAGAUGAUGAAAUCAAGUGCAUUUUUUAGAUUGUAUCCUAUAGUUCUCAUAUAUUUUGUGGUGAAUACAUGAAAGUAGUUAUAAAACAUAAGAUAGCAAUAUUCUCCGGUCUGGGCCUACUAGCCAAAUGUACUCGAUAUUAUUGGUAAACCGAUUUAAUAGCCUAAAGUGACUUAAUAAUUUAAUUUAAGUCAUUAAAUAAAUUAAACAUAUUUAAUAAUAAUAUAAAAUAAAAAAUAAUUUUAAGUAAUAAAUAUAAAUAAUUAAUUUAUUUUUAAGUUCAUAUUUUUAUUUGAUAUUUUUUUACCAUAAUUUGUCUCGUUACCUCUAUAUCUUUUACUACUCCAUGACAUCCAUUGUUAUUUGAUGUCCUUUACUUUAAUUAUAAUUUAUGAAAAUAAAUAUAUUGAUUUGAUAAUUUAAAAUAAAUUUUAAGUUAAUUUUAUCAAACAGUCUUAAUAAAUUUCAAGUUAAUUUUAUCAAAUAGUCUUAAUAUUUAAAAUAAGAAUUAAUAAGUUUUAAAUUAACAAUUUAAGUAUAAUUUAAUUUAAAGUCAACUUAAAUCAUUAAGUAAUAAAUAUUAAGUUUUAUUAAACACCUUAGUUUUUUUUCCAUCAUUAAUAUCAUUUAAUGAGAAGCAUAAUUGUUUUCGACCUUUAUUAAGUAUUGAAUUACUUAUCUUGUUUCUAUUAUUAUGGUAACAUGUCUCGUCUUAUUUCCUAUUAUUAUUAUAGUAACAUGCCUCAUAAUAAAUCUAUGUUUAUGGUCCAUUUCAUGUGAAAUUACUCUUUUUCUCUUACUAUAAGAGUAAUUAUAAUAUAAAUUAGAAAUACUUGUGUCAAAUGGAUAAGAUGAUCCCAAUAUUUUGAAAAACAAUCUCCACUUAUUGAGUAUUAUAAUUAUAACCUCAUUUUAAUAUAGCUACCCUUAUACCUUUUUUUUUUUUCCAAUAAGUGUUCGAUUGUGAAAUGUUGAUAAAACAAUGGAGGGUAUUUUUGUCCAAAAAAUGAAAUUUAUUGUUUUUAAAAAAUAGAAGUGAUUCUUAUGAAUAUGUAAUUGUUUUAUCCUUUUAAAUUAAAUAAUCUUAUAAAUUAAGGUUGUUAAAGUUAUGUCAUACAUGGUAUUAAAGUUGAAAGAACAAUUUCCACGUUAUUUAAUAAUAGUAGUAGAUUUUUGUCAUAAAGGGGAAAAAUAACAAUUUCUCGUUUGGGAUUCCAUUUAUUCUCAUUUUUUUCUUCUAAAUUUAUGAGUUGUGACAAAAAUUAUUUAGAAUUUUGCCCUCGCCAUUAAGGUUGAACUAAAGUCAUCACAAAGAAUUAGGCAAGGAUUUUAGAGCUUCUAGGUUCAAGGUCAUUAGAAAAUGAGGCUAUUUUCAAUUAUUCAUUGACGCUACAUACUGGUUGUUACUACCACUUUAGUUUAUGGUUUAUUUUGUUCAUUAUGUCUUUUAGAUAAUAAUAUUAGUUUUAGAUUUUGUUUGAAUUGGUUUUUGACAAACAAAUUUUUUUUCUUAAAACUUAAUUAAAGUCUCUAUUAAGAAAUUUUGUUACGAGUACUAACUUACGAGUUAAAAAGUGCUUAAUAUGAAAGUGAAUGUUACUUCCCCUAAAAACUCGAUUUUGCCUUCUAUAGAAAUUCAUAUUUACUGAACUAUAUUAGUACUAAUAUGUGAAUAUUAGUCUUAACUAUAACUUUGUGUUGGGGUUUGAAAGUUGAAGGUUUGAUCCAUAAGUAGUGGACCUUCUUUUUUAGUUGAAAAGACUAGUUUUUAAGCAAUAAUUAAAAUCAUAAAAUGGGCAAUAACUAAUGUGAUAACUAGACUAACAUGAAAAGAUUCUUGUUUGACAACUAUUUUCAAGAACAAUUUUCUAUUCUUCAGAAUAAAAAAACUAAGAAAACAUGUUUGACAACCAAAAACCGUUUUUUAUUUUCUGUUAUAACAAAAUAAGGUGUUUUCAAAUAACAUCUUUUAACCGUUUUAUGUUAUUUUCACUUAUUUUUUAAGGGUUGUCUUAAAAAAAUAAUUAUAUAAACAUGUAGAAUGAUUAAAAAUAAAAUACUAGACAUAAAAAUUAUUUUUAAAACAUAUUUAACAAUAUUAAAAACAUGUUAAAAAUAUUUUGGGUUUCCAAACAAACUUUUGUUCUACAAAUUAAACAUUAGAGAAUAAUUUUCAAAAACUAUUUUUCAGAAUUAUUUUUAAAAACAAUUAUCAAACAGGCCUUUAAACUCUAUUUUUUUAGGAUUGUUGUAUAGUGUAACAAUUAGAGGAAAUGAGAGAAGUUUUCAAAAAGAAAAAAAAAAAAAAAGGGGGGUUAUGUAAUAAAAGCAAAAAGGAGAGUUUGUUCUCAAAGUUGUAUCUUUUUGGGUUGUCUUUCCUUGUAUAUUGUUGACUUAAAUAUCAAGGUUACUCUCCAUCAUGUUUUGAAGACUUGUAUGCAGAGAUUUCUCCAACUUUUAUAAGCUUGACAACAUGCUUGUUGUGUGUGUGUUUUAAAUUUCUUCUUUAAUAUUUGUAAUACCAUAAGUUUCGAGUUAAAACACUAUAUAGAUCAUUGUAUUCCCAUUUUUUAUUAAUAGAAGAAAGUUACUUCAUGAUUUUUUUUACCUCCUUUAAUUAGGAAGGAGUUUUCAAUGAUAUAUUAGGUAUUUUUUUUGGUUUUCUAUCAUUGUCAUUGUCUUAUUUGAAUGCUAUAGCAAGUCGGUUGAAGAGUGUUUAUAAUGAACUAGAUUUGGGAUUCCAGUUUAGCUUUGCAAACUAGGUUGGGCAUUUAAUUUAAUCAUGUAUACUAGUCCAAAGGUUGUGUGUGUAUCAUAAUAAAUAAUUAGGGAGUCUAGUUAUAUGACUCAAUUCAAUAGGGCGUUGAGCUACAUUAUCUAACUUGAACUAGUGUCAAGUUUGACAAAAAAUAACUUUUUUUUUUGUUGGUUUUGUUCUUUUAACCUUAUCAUUUUAACUUCUAACUUGAGCUAAAAAUAAUGUUAUUCCAAAUAGUGUCUUAUCUACUAAAGUAACGGACUGUUUUGGGGUUAAAAGUUUAAUUGUUAAUAAAUUUGAUGAUGUUUUAUUGUACAUAUAUAUUUUUAAACAUCUUUGAAUGCUAUAAGUCAAAAGAAUGAGUGUAUUUUUGUUGAUGAAAUCAAUGUUUUAGUGCAUUAAUAUUUUUAAAUAUUUUUAAUAUGGAUUAUUAUGAUGCUCAUAAAUGACCACAUGAAUGAAGUUUUUACUAACUAGAGGAACAUUUUUCAGUUGAUAAGACCAGUUUAUUUAAUAGGUCACAUAGAGGCAUAUGUUCUUACAACAUCAUAAUGAACAAUAGGUAUUAAGGUUAUGUAGUGUUGUAUGGUUGCAAAAAAUAUGGUGAUCAUUUCAUUAACUCAAUCACAACCAAUUGGAUUCAUUAUAAGAAAAAUCAAUCAAUAAUGACACUUUUUACCUGUCAAGAAAGACAAACAAUGUCAAGAAAGACAAACAAUGACACUUCUCCGCAGUGUCAUCUCUUAGCUUGUCAUAAUAAGUUUCUACAAACAGUUACACUUCUUAAAAGCAUGAAAUCAAGUGUCAUUGUAAAGAGUGUUUAGCGAUGUUGACACUUUUAAAAGCGUCAUUGUAAAUAUGGAACAAAUAAUGAUGUUUUUUAGAAGCAUUGAGGCGUACCAAUUUGCCAAUGUUAUUGUUGAUUUUGUAAAUAAUAACACUUACAAAAACUGUUAUUGUUGAAGAUGAAAUAACCUUGACGCUUUUUGGAAGCAUCAUCGUUCACCUUUUCCAUUGUUGAUUGCUCUAAACCUUGACACUUAGUGGAAGUGCCAAGGAUUGUGACAAUCUAAAGUUAGCUUCACCUAUUGCUCUUUUAUUUUAAUUGGCAUUUGAUAUUGAAAUAACACAAAUAUAAAGGAAUGACAAUUAUUUAUCCAUCCAACAACUAUCAAAUAAUUAAAUAAAAUUAAAGUAAUUAUUAUUUAUCUAUCCCAUAAAUGAAGUGCUAAGAGUAAUAAAUUUAUAAUAUAAAAGAGAAAUCACAUUGCAUAUUGUAUAUAUGAGUAACACAAGAAGUCUGAAAAAAAAAAAAAAAAACAUAUCCGUAGCUAAAACAAUAACUUCCUUUGACAUGUUUUUUUAAAUGUCACCCAAUUGUGCCUUCAUCUUUAAUGGAAGUUGUUCAUUUCUUGAAUUUUCGUCAUAGCUAGAGAUCAUCUUCCUUUGUGCUAAAAUGCAAUGGUGACAUUCCUUCCCUUUCAAAUUUUCUCACUUUCUUAGGCUUAGUGAUUUCCUAAUCAAUUAAUACAACAAUGUUCCAUAUAAGUUCAUGUCAUGAAAAGGUUAUUUGAAAAAAAAAAUGGAAAUUAAUAAUAUUAUCUUUCAUAAGGUAUAAUAAGUCAUUUUUUUCUUCAAUUUGGUUCAAAUUGAGGUGCUCUUAGAUAAAAUUCAUCUCAACUAUAAGCUAAACUAGCCCAUAACAUAUUAUUAAUUGAUUGAAAACAAAAAAAAUAAAAAUAAAAUAAAAUAAAGUGAGAAUUUGAGUUAGAAUCUAAGAUGUGUAGGAGUCAUUGUAAUUCUAAUUUGUGAAAUAAUUUUUAAGAUGUAACAAUAAUUAUAUGAAGUCACUUAGACUUCGAAUUAUCCAAAUUUGUAACAUAGAUAUUAUAUAUAACCAAAAUUUGUAUAGUAUAUUUAAUUAACUAAAUGUAAGAUAUGUUAUUCCAUAUAAGCUAGACCUAAGGCAUAUCUUUGUUCAAUAUUCAAUCUUGUGAAUUAAAUAUACUCCAUAAUAGUCCUUCACCUACAGUAUAUUUUCAGUAACCAUGAAGGAAAAUUGGAAUCGAUUAUUCCCAUGAAAUGGGUAAUCAAGAUCGGUGCAAACAAGUCAACUACAAAUAGCUAAUUAAACAAUUAACUUGGAUUUCAACUUUCAAUUUCAACAACAAUAAAAUUAAAUCAAAUACCCAAAGAUCAGAUACAACAAACAAAAUGGUAGACCACACCGGUGAACAAUUGCACCAUACUUUCUCCAAAUUUCAAACACAAACCCUAAUAAGAAACUCUAAUGGGUAUAAAUGUGAGAGAGAAAAAAUCAUCAAUUUGCAAUUAAAAAAAUUCAAUUUUAAUACCAACAAAAAAACACAACACACCAAUUUUAUACAAAUGAAAUUCAAUAACAAUGCCUAUGAAUUCCAAACUUGAAUAAUUCUUGUGAUUUUGUGAAAUGUUCUCUCUCAUCUUUUUUAUUUGGGAAGGCAAAUGUGAGGGGUAGUCUUUCCAAUAGUGUAAGCUUGUCUUUGCCAAUAUGAGAAUCAAGUGAAUUGAUUAUUUCAGAAUUCAAAGGCCUCUUAUAGGAGGAUGUGUUUUGAUUUGAUGAUGAAAUUUCAACCCUAUCAUGAUGAACGUUAUAGAAUUAGAGGGUGGAAAUGUAGAAGAACCUGUUAAGCUUAUCAGACAAAGGCACCAUGAAGCAGUUGAUAUAAUUAGGAAAUGAAAAAUAUAUGCUACCUUUUCAUCGAGAUUGAUCUCAAUGCAGGAGUAGAUUAGCUUGGUUGAACUACGCAAUACACUAUCAACAACCAAAUAGUUAAUACCACCUUCAUUAAAAUUGUUGAGAACCCAACAAAUGUCUAACUCCUUGGUAUGAUAAUCCUUUGUGAUCCUCAUCAUAGUCAUCGAUAUCUACUUCUCAACAUCCAUGAUGGUUAGAAAAAUAGGAUUGGCAUUUGCAGAGGAACUUUCCUAAUUGACAAGGUCAAUCUUUUUUAUAUAUACCUUCCUUGGUCAAUCUAUUGGUACUUUCCACACUAGCAAGAUUCAUUGCUUAGUAAUUUCUAAUUAACAUAAACAAGUCUAAACUCUAGAUUUUUUUUUUUUAAGUUCCCAUAUCUAAGAUGCAUUAAUACAUUUUCAUGAUGUAAUUCUCACUUUAUGGUGCAUUUGUAGAUUUCGUGAGUGCACUAAUAAGGACUGGAUUUUGGGAGUUGGGGUUGACACUAGGGGAAAAAAGCUUGUGAACUCAAAGAAAGGACCCCAAAGUUUUGAGUAGUCCAAGAUGAGCCUUGACAAACACCUUGAGUAUGGUAGCAUGUUUGUCAAAAAGCAAGAGAAUGUGAAAAGAUAUCAUGCAUGCAUGGUCUGACACACCAAACUAAGCCUUACUAUGAACCAUAAUGACAUUUCUCAAUAACAAAAUUUAUGUCAUUGGGUUUUGUAGUUUUAGUGCCAACAUCAAACUAAUCAACUAAUUUAUGACUUUCAAUUCAAGAUGUCACAUCAAUUAUCUCUUAAAUUUCAAGAACAAAAUCUAAGUAUGUAAUCAGGUCUUGUAGUUUUAGGGCCAACAUCAAACUAAUGAGCUAAUUUAUGACUUUCAAUUUAAAAUGUCACAUCAAUUAUUUAUUAAAUAAAUUUUAUUAUACCCAUUGUUAAUCAUAUAUAAUAUAUAUGCUAAAAGGGAGAGUAUUUUUUUCUUCAUUAAAAAAAAAGUCUAACAAAUGUAAGAAUGGAAUAUUUUAAAUUAUUUUAUUCAAAAAUAAAUUGUAGAAUAAAAAAAAAUUAUUAAGGUCCUAUUUGUUUAGAUGAUUUUCUAUUUCCAUUAUGAAAGAAAACAAAAAUCAAACUAAAAACAAGUUAAAGGUUUUACCUCUAUCUGCAGCCAUAGUGUUGCCCAUAACUUGCUCUUUAUGAUAAAAAAAAAAAUUGCUGCUUCGAGUUCUUUAGGACAAACAACUAUAUUUGCUAAUCAAUAAAUUGUGAGGAUUUAUACCAUUUGCUAAAAUGAGAAGUCUCAAGUUUCUAGGUUUUGAAACAAAGUUGGGCCAUUUAUGGUCAAUUAGCCAUGAUAGAGAGUUAGUUGGAUGACACAUUUUGUCAUCUAAAUCUCUUCCUUAGGUAUGCCAUAUGAGGUCUUUUAUGAUUUUUGAUGAUUGAAACCUUCUUAUAAAUCUUGGAAUUGGAGGAAAAUACCACAUUACUUUCCUAGGAGUUCCCGUCUUUUAGUUCCUAUAUUAUCUACCUUUCACCUUGAAGUUCCAUAGAUAGGACAUGAAAUGCAUUUUUCAACUUAUUCUUGUAAAGUAUACAAUCAUGGGGCAUGCGUGUAUUUUUUCAUAUUCCAUUCCUAAUGUAUUCAAUGUCAUUUUUGCCUUAUACAUAGACAAGGGUAACUCAUUAUUUAGAGGCAACAUAUAUCUACGCAUUUUUAAAAGCUCUGAAAAGCUUUUAUCAGACUACUCAUAGUGUGUUUUCAAGUUGUAUAAUUUAACCAAUGCAAACAAUUGUGUGAAUUUUAUACAACUAGGAUAUAAAAGGUUUUUCAACAAUUUGAAGUAAUCUUUCAAGCAAUUUUAGGUCCUUUUGACAUUCAACUUGUACAGCUUCAACCAUUUCUAUUAUACUAUCUACAUCAUUAAAUUGAACCAUAUUAUAAUGUUCUACCCUUCUAGUUGGUGGUUCACUUGGAGUUGUUUCCCUAUGCCAAUACCAUAUAUGGUAAUUCUGAUUAAUUUUAUAGAAAAACAUAUGCUCUCUAAUCUUUUGAGGAAAUCUUUGAGGAGUAUGAAAUAUCAUAUUACCACUCUAUAAGCAUGGACAUUUAAUGGAGUUUUUAUAUGUAGAAUUUUAUAUUGCAAAUGUGAUAAAAAUGUUCUACCCCAUCCUCAUACUCCUUUAAUCCUCUAUCCUUUGAAAUCCACAAACAAUCCAUUUUUUAAGAUCAAACUUUCAAUAGUGAUCAAACUUCAAAUUGAAGAAAAUAGCAACAUUUUCUAUGCUAUUCUUUUUACAACCUUUUUUUUUUUUUUUUGUUCAAAUAAUAAUCAAGAAAAUGUAGUUCAACAUUUGUUUAAGAUGCCAAAUUUAAAAGAAAAAGAGUAAGCAUUGUUCUAACCAUUUUGAUCUAUGAACAUAGAUCUACACUUUUGAAAUAUCACGCUAAUUAUUUACAUUUUUAAAAGUGCCAAGGAAAAAACAAGGUCAUGGUAUAUCUUAUUUGUAGUAGUGACUAAUAAGUUAUAAAUGUUGUUGACCAUGAAUACUUGCAUUAAAAGGGAUGUAUAACCUCAAUAAAACUAGUUCAUAUUAAUAUUAUUAUAUUGGGUUUGUCCAUGACCUUUGCAUCAAACAUUGUCUAUACCUAUUUUCUCAAUAAACUCCUUAAGCGACACAAGAAAAUCAUUUGAGUAUGUCAAAUUUUGAUGCAUGUUUUAUGCAUUCUAACAUCUCCAACAUCCUAAAUUCGAUAGUAGUUCCUAUCCCAUAUAGAAAUAUAUAAUCUCUAUGUGUCAAUGACCAAUGUGGUCAAUUUCAUUUUAAAGAAAUUUUAGUAGAAUUUCCCUAUAGUUCUCUAAGUAUGUAAAAUGGACAAGGCAUACUAUGCAACUUUAUCCAAAUAUGCACCCAGAGAAUAAGAGGAAAGACUACCAAAAUUUAUAAAAAUUGAAUUAAGAACAAUCAAUUAACUUCAUAGAUAUUAUGUUUUCUACACUGUCUAAUUAGACAAUUCAAGUAUCAUUUGUGGGGAAAAGUUCUUUAUCACAUGAUAAACAAUUUAAAAGUUGUCAACUUGAAACUAGCCUAGAUAAAACCGUUUUCACUUUUUGAUAACUUAAAUCUCUUUAGUAUGUAAUAAGAGAAACUUUUGUCUCACAAUGAUGCCAAUGAUACUUGAAUUGUUUCAUGCAUGCCUAGUUUAUUAAAAUUAAAACACAAUUACUUAUUGAAAUAUUAUAACAAAGAAACAUAAAUCUCAUUAUAUCAUGUUUAUCUCAAAUAUAUAAUGUUAAGAUAAAGCCCUUAAAAGCAUGAUAUGAUGUAAUAAAUUUGGAAUUCAUUGUUUAUUUAAUGAUGUUCCAGUUUCACUUUUAUCUAUUCUUAUUCUAUAUAUUAUACUUUAUGAGCAUUAUUGUCUGCAUUUUUUGUAUUGUACGUGAUUUAGGUGCAUUAGGAGUUGCACAGAAGAUCUAAGUCAUGGGUUCUUUGCAAAUAGAUGACUUUUUCACAACUGGUUCAUAGGUUUAGGUAACCCAUUAAAGGUUGUAGUGCACCACCUCCUAAUUGGAGGGAUCACUGAUCUUGGUUAUCGGGAUGGGUUUCCCAUGGUGAGUGCACUAGUGUGUAUGGUUACACAUUGGACAAGACCUAUGGUGAGUCAUGACUUAAGGCUAUUAUUGAGUCAUGACCUCACCAAGUUGUUUCAUUGUGUUGUCUCUCAACCUUGAGAGAAUAUUGAGUUUGUGCUAAAGUUGGCAAUGACUUUGACCUACGGGUGAAAUCAUAAGUUGAUCAUAUAUUCCAUAUGGAUUAGGUUAUUGUUGAUAGAAGCUAGUACUAAUAGGUAUUUUCAAUAGAGACACUAUGAUAUCUCUUGGGAUUGAGACAAUGUGUCCCCUUGGGUGAUCUUAAGGAGGUAUGUUCAUGGAAACUAUGGUCAUGUAGUUCAUUAAAUGGAAGUUGACAUAGGCUAUUUGAGAACUAAGAUAUGUUAAUUGAACACAAAAUAGGAGGUAGAGGUAGUCUUGAAAGACUAAUAGCUUUCACCUUAUUAAACUACGGACAUUAGUUCAUGGGGAAAUUGAACACAAUGGAUAGCAAGUCACAGACCUGAUCACUUAGUGUCUUGUUGUUAUUUACAUAGGAUAUUGGACUUUAGUUGAUUCUCUGUAGUGUGAUAUUGAAUCAACUUUAGAAUUGGAUUUUGAGGGAGUCAGUAUUUCUAUGGGUCCUAAUGGUCUCCGCUUUGAACUCAUAUACCUUGUUGGCAUGGGUUAUGAGGGUUGAAUUGGCUCUAAGUUCACUUUUGUGCAUAAGGGCAUUUUGAUAAUUACGCAAGGUUGUGUAGGGGUAAGUGAACAAGGUCUCUUGAUUGGGCUAAUUGAUUAAUUAGUAAGCCUUAUUGGGUUAAUUAAUUAGUUAGAACUCAUUUUGGGUUAGAUUAAGUGACCCAAGUCUGUAUGGGCUCAAGUCACUUAAGCCCACUUAGGAACCCUAUAAAUACCCCCUAGAGGUUAGGGUUUCCAUGACUUUUAUCUUCCACCAUCCAGAGAGAUAGAGAAAUAUAGACUCCACCCUCAUUUCCUCUCCAUUGGAAGUGUGCCAAGAUCAAGGUUUGAGUCAUCGGGCGGAAGACUCGGGAACAUCCGAAUUUGAGGUAUAGUUUUUGUUAGCACUUUCUAGAUCCUCAUAAAGUAUAAAAAAAUUAUUAUUAUUUUUUUGUGCAUAGAAUUUAGAAAAAGCCUAGGAUAGUUAUGCAUAUUCCUAACCUGAUCCAGACUGAGGAAACAGAGAGAUUCAUAUUUUUUUUCCAUCAUAUAACAUUUAACAUGGAGGCAUAAGAACCUUUUUCACAAGUUAGAGUAAUGUUUUCUAGAAAAUAAAAGAUAUAUUUCUACCACUUACAAUGGAAAGUCAUAGGUUUGAAUUAGUGACAUGGAGAGACACUAACAUAAUAUUUUCACUCAAAUAUAUUGCAACAAUUCAUGUAAUUACUAGUAUUUUUCCAAAGCUCAUUUCAUUCAAAUAAUCCAACUCAUCAAUGUCCACCAUUAGUAUGAGAAACGAGGAGAUACAACCCAAAAAAAUAUUCUAUACUUCACUAUGUCAUCUUCAAACAUCCUUAAAAUAAUGUCAAUCUCAGAUCCUUAAUUCCUUAUUAUCUAUUCACUAAAUAGAAUCAAAAGCCCAUAAAUCCAAACAAAUGAAAAACACAUGGAGAUUGGUCAAAGCAUGAGUGGUUUAUAAUUCGGAAAAAGUCAAGAAAGUUAAAAAGAUAUUAUCCUAGCAAUAACAAAAUUAGCUCUCGCCACAUCAGGAAACUACUCAUUUAGCAUAAUUUAUUAACAAUAUCUAUGAAAAGAAUAUAUAAAAACAAUUCUACAAUUGGUAACUAUGGAAUAAAACAAUUUAAGAGAGAUGGAUAGAUGAAACACAAUUGAAAUUCAUUUCCUCAUGACUUAUAGGAAAAAAAAAAGUGAAAACUCAAAGUUGGUAAUUGAACAUGAACUAAAUCUUGAAGAGAGCUUUGAGAAACAACUAGAGAAGAUGACUAUGAGAUAUUGUGAAAUUCUAGUUUCAGAUCUUACACAGAUGCAAAAAUGUUUAAAUUAAAGAAGACAAGUGAUGUCUUUUGGUUUGUGAGAGGUGCAUGUUCCACUUAUAGUUAUGUCAGAGACUAUAGGGCAAACAAUUAGAUAAAAACUAAGAUUAAUCACUAAAAAAUAUUAAAACUACAAAGUGCAUAUGUAAUUGGGGAUGAGAGAAAGUAAAAGUUGACACAAUUGAUAACUAUAACAAUGACCAAGCUAAAUGUUUACAAUAUUGAAAAGAAUAUAUUUAAGGCAUUUGAGAGCACUAGCCAAAACAUGUUUGCCUCAAUCAAGAGGGAUAAGAAUGAAAAUAAAAAAUUGACAGAGAAAUUUGAGUAAACAAACAAGUAAAAAGAUGGUGCAUUUGUACACUUUCUAACCACUUUGCGAUGCAUAAUUUGCAUUCUUGGCAUAACACAAUUGAUCAAUUUAAUAAGGAUUGCAAAUAUGUCCCAUCACAAAAAUUUCAUGCUUCAAAACUGCAUGUUUGGCUAGGGGACUUGGAGCUCAGUUUCUCUAAAAUAAACUAAUCUUAUCCUUUCAAAUUUAGUUUAUGCUUAUGAUUGGAUGGUAAGGUAUCCAAAGUAUAAAAUUUAUGGGCCACUUAAAUUUGAGGUGGUGUGCACAAACCAAAAAUAUGUAUUAAAAAGCUUGUGGAUCAAUAUAAGGGUGCUCACUUGGUGGUCUUACUCCUAAAAGGAUUCAUUGAAGAGGUAAAAAGAGGAGUAUGAUUUGUACUAACAUAUAAGAAGAUACAAUGCAACAUAGAAAUCGAAAGAACUUUCUUGAACUAUAAUUUUUGAAAUACUAAGCAGAAGAAAAUUUAAUAGGAAAGUUGGAAACUAAUUAUUUUAAUAGUUAUUACGUAAAGGAUUCUUUAAUUAACUAUAACCAUAUGAAGUUAUUGAAUAGACACAUCUAGUUGCAAACAAAAAAAAAAUAGAAAAAGAAGCUAACAAUUAUUUAACAAACUAACAAUUCUUUACUUAACUUCUAACCAUAAUGCAAGAUACCCAAAUAUUCUAAUACUCCCCCUCAAAAUGGAGAAUGAAUGUUGUGAAUUCCCAUUUUACUAAGAAGAAAAAGAAAUUGAGGUGAAGAAAAAGGUUUGGUCAACAAGUCCCCCACUUGAUGUUUAGAUGAAAUAUGUAGUGUCUUCAAGCUUCCAUUUUGCAGUUUCUUUCUAACCAAGUGAUAAUCGAUCUCAAUGUGCUUAGUGUGCUUGUGAAAAAUUGGAUUAGCUACAAUAUAAAGAGUUGCUUGAUUGUUGCAAAAUAGCAAGGCAGGCUUAGGACGAGAUACAUGCAAAUCUCUAAAUAAAGAAAGUAACCACAUCAAUUCACAUGUUGCAUUUGCCAUAAAUCUGUCCUCAACUUCAACAAAAGAUCUUGAAACUGUAUGCUGCCUUUUUAUUGCUGGGAAAUUAAGGAAUCACCAAUAAUAAUAAUAAUAAUAAUAAUAAUAAAAAGCAAAAUCCACUAACAGACCACACAAGUUGCCUAAUUUGAAUCAACAAACCCUUUCAACUUUAUUAAUGAAUAAAUAAAUAAAUAAAUAAACCUUGUCCUACAUAACUUUCAAGCAUGGUUUGAAAUGUUGCAAAAUUUUGGCGAAAUAUUGUCGACAUUUUGCUUAUCAGGGAGAGCUAACACGAUAUUCCACACUGAAAGUAAAUUGUUGAAAUAUUGGGGAGAGUUGACACGAUAUUCCACACUGAAAUGUUGCAAAAUUUUGGUGAAAUAUUGUCAAUAUUUUGCUUAUCAGGGAGAGCUAACACGAUAUUCCACACUGAAAGUCGAUCGUCAAAAUAUCGGGGAGAGUCGACAUGAUAUUGCACACCGAAAGUCAAUCGACUUUAUCGAAAAGAUGCCGAUAUUUAGGUAAAUUCCUUCAAAUUUUUUUCUAUUGCAUCCAAGGGGAUUCAAACCCAAGCCCAAAGGCUUGGGUGAAGCCUGGCUACUAUUGGGCCAAGUCCACAUUUGUAAAUAUAUGUUCACAAUAAAUAUGUUAAAAUUCAUCAUUAAAAGAAUAAAUAAAUUAAUUCUAAUUAUUUUAUUUAAAAUUUUAUUUAAUUAAUUAACAAAAGUAUAAAACCAUCAUUAUAAUUUUCUUAAUAAGUCUUUUAUUUUAUUUUAUUUUUAUGUCAUUUAUAUGACAAUUAUAUAAAAAAAAAAUAUAAAUAUCAAAAAAAUUAUAUAUGCAUCAUAAUUUAUUUUAUAUUGUUGAAUGUAUUUGAAUUAAAUAAAUUAUAGUUUUAAUAUUAAAUGUAUCAUCAUUUGUCUCAUUAAUCUUAUUUUUAAAAAUUACUAUCACUUCACUUUUAUUUUUUUUUUAUGUUUAUCCUUUUAAUUUUAUUUAAUUUUGAAUGUUUUUAUUUUAAAAAUAUUAAAAAUAUAAAUUUAUUCCAAAAAGUUAGUAAAAUAAAAAAAAUAAUGAAGUUCUAAUAUUUUAUAAAUUAAAAUUAAUUUGAUAAGAUAAAUAAUAAAUUAUUAAGCCUGAUAUAUCCCUCAAUAUUUUUCUCAUUGACCAUACUUAUGUCAAUUCCACUUACAAUAACUUUAACAUAUGUAUUCUUGCUUAUUUUAUCAUUUUUUUUAGAGUUUUCCAAACAUUUCCAUGAAUUUUGAAUAAUUUUUGUUUUACCAAUAUUUUUGUCAAAAUAUCCAUCGAUAUUUUACCAAUAUUUACUAAUAUUUUACCAAUAUUUCCAAUAUAUCCAUAAAAUCCAAGUAUUGAUAUAUCCGUGUUUACCAAUAUUUCAAACCAUGCUUUCAAGUAUUGAAGCACAUGUUGUAUUGCCCACAUAUGAAGAACUCUGGGCUUUGCAAGAAAUUGAUUGAAUUUAUGUACUGAAAAUGAUAAAUCUGGGUUUGCUAUGGUUAGAUAAAGCAAUUUGCCUAUCAUUCUUCUGUAAAAUAAAAGAUCUUCUAUCAUAUCACUUUUGUCUUGUGUGAGCUUCACAUUUGGAUUUAUAAGUGUUUUCCUUGUUUUACAACCAAAAUAGCCUACAUCUGAUAGUAAUUGUAAGGCAUAAUGGUGCUAACUAAGGGAAAUUCCCUUAUUAGACCUCACCACCUCAAGGCCCUAGAAGUAUUUAAGCUUUCCUAAAUAGAACUUUUAAUUUCUCAACUUGCUCAUCACUAUUACUAACAAUGACAAUGUCAUCCACAUAAACUAAUAGAGCAAUGAAGUGAGUACUGACAACUUUGACAAAAAGAGAGUGAUUUGCAUUAGAAUGUUUAAAAACCUUCAACAAGUAAGAAAUUGGAGAGUUUGGAAAACCAUUGUCGUGAUGCUUGUUUCAAGCCAUAUAAGGACUUUUGAAUUUUGUAAACAGAGUGUGAGGAUAAUGAUUUUCCUUCACGGUGAUAACUAGGAGGCAUAGUCAUAUAAACUUCCUUAAAAAGAUCACCAUGUAAGAACGCAUUAUUGACAUCCAGCUAAGGAAGACUCCAACCAUUAAUGGUAGCCAAAGCAAGCAAAACCUUAACAGUAACCAAUUUGACAACAUGAGAGAAGGUACCUAAAUAGUCUAUGCCCUCUUGUUGUGUGCAGCCUUUAGCUACAAGGUGAGCUUUGUAUUGUUCAAUAGUUCCAUCAACUCUAUACUUAUUUUUGUACACCCAUUUGCACCCAAUAGCAUGUUUUCCUUGUGGCAAAGUAGUUAAAGACCAAGUGUCAUUUUGUUCAAGAGCUCCUAACUCAGUAGACACUGUCUCUUGCCAAUCUAGAAUAGUAGCAGCCUUGAAGUAUGUGGUGGGUUCAAAAUUAGAGGAAAUAACACAAACUUUUUUUUUAUUUUUUUAUUUUAUGAAUUUGACAAUUUUGUGUAAUCCAGGACAUGUGUGAGAGGAUGUGAGGUAGAAGAUGUGCUGUGAGAACAAGAAUAGCAAUAGUAAUAUGCUAGAUAAGAAGGAGGCCUACGAACACGAUUAGGAUGACAAUGAGACGUAGAAGGUAUGAAAACAGUAGGAAUUGUUGAUAUUGGCAAAGAUGUAGAUUCAAGAAUGGAAUAAAAAGAAGUAAAUAGUAAAAUUGUAUUAGAGAAAAUAUCUGGAAGAGGAGAAUAAGUUUGAAUAGUUUUGAAAGAAAAUAUAGACUCAUGAAAUACCACAUUAUGGGAGAUAAACACAGAAUUAGUGACUAGAUUCAAUAAUUUGUAUUCUUUAUAACCAGGUGGGUACCUAAAAAAAGACAAAAGGAAUGACAUGAGGUGAGAAAUUUGUCCUAUGACGAUCUAAAGUAGAUGCAUAACAUAGGCAACCAAAAUUAUGAAGAUGUGGAUAUGCAAGCUUCUUUUUUCCAAAGAAGUUCAAAGGUUGUUUUGUUGGACAAAAGUGGGAAUGAAGUUUUAUUUAUUAAGUGUACAAUAAUAAGAACGCAAUCUCCCCAAUAAACCAAUGGAAUAUGUGAUUGGAAACAUAAAUACCAUACAACAUUUAAGAUAUGUUGAUGCUUUCUUUCUGCUAUUGAAUUCCGUUGAGGCUAAUCAACACAAGAAUGAAAUGAGAUACUCAUUUUGCACUAAAGAAGUCAAAAAAUGCAAAUUCAGGAGCAUUAUCUGAGUGAACUAAUUUUAUUUGUGUUCCAAACUAAGUUUGAAUUAAUAAGAAAAAAAAUUAGGAAUAAAUUUGGUAACAUUAGGCUUAGCACGCAAAAGAUACACCCAAAUAAAACGAGUACAAUCAUUAACAAUAGUAAACAAAUAUCUAUAACCUUCAAUGGUAAAUGUGUGAAGGAGACCCUAAACAUCACAAUGUAUGAGUUGAAAAGGCAAAACAAACAAAUAAUUGUGAGAAAUAAAAUGUAAUUUGCAUUGUUUGACUAAAUGGAAAACUAGACAAUGACUUGAAUCACCAAAAUUUGGUUUAACUUCUAUUUCAUCUUUGAGUGUUUGUAACAUUACAUAAGAAGGGUGACCUAAACGGUAAAACCAAAUUUUAUUUUGAGACAAAGAAACAUUAUUAUAAGGACUGAAAAUUUGUGUAGUGGAAUGAAAAUUGACUAUAUUUAAGAAGUAUAGACUGCCAUGUCUUCUACUCAUCCCAAUCAUUUUGGUCCAUGCAUGGCCUUGAAUAGUACAAGAAUCAACCAUAAAAUUAAUAGAAGAUUUAUAACUCUGAGUGAGAGAACUGAUAGAGAGGAGAUUGAAAUGGAAAUUAGGAACAAACAUGACAUUAUUAAGGAUGGGAUUAGGAGACAAAAACACAACCAAUACGAUUAAUAACAACAGAUUGACCAUUAGGCAAAGUUACAAAAGAAUUUUGUGCUGGAGUAAGAUUGUGUUAAUGUGCUUAAGGAACAAAAAACAUGAUGUGCAACUUCUAUGUCCAAAAUCCAAGUGGAAAAAGAAAUUGAAAAAUUAUGAGAUAGAAGAAAAAGAUAGUAUACCAUUGAACUGGGAAACAAAGGGUUCUAGCUAUUGAGAUUCUGACAUAACAAGAAAGUUGUUAUGAAAUUGAGAGCUCAAGAAUGCAAGCAAUUGAUGACACUGAGCUAAAGUAAGAUAUCUGAUUCGUGCCCAGUCGGGUAUUUUAAUAAAAAACAUUUAUAAAUCCUAUGACCUCAUACUAGCGUAGCAAAGCUACUAUAGUAUAGCAGCUCUAGGGUCGAACUCUGGGAUGGGUUUUCAUUCUACCAGUGAUAGACUCAAGAUUAGAAAUUGAAUCUGAUGAUUUCCUUUGUCAAAAACUUAAAGUUUAAAAGAAAAUAAAAUUUGUUUUGAAAGUGGUGUUUGAAACUAAACUAACAUAAAACUAAGUAAAAAUGGAAGAAAUAAAGUCUCUCGGAGCUAAAGGUUGCUAUGAUCAAGUUCAGAAUGCAAAGUGGAAAAUUCCGGAUUUUUCUCCUUGUAUUGGGGACAACAACAUAAAGGAUGGUUGUUCCCGAACUAGUAUAGGUUUAACAAUGAAGAUUUAAUCCAUAAAAAGUCAAUAGAAAUGGUAGUCAAGUUCCAUUAAUGGCUUUAGAUGCUAUGGGUCUUCACUUUGAGCCACUUUCCAAUGGCUCGUACAUGAUAACUAAUGGUCUGAUGUGGAUCUAGCAAUAAGUAUCCACAGAGACCUAAAACUUAUCAUGUAUUGGCCAUUCAAAGUGAUUCUAAGGGAUUUAAAGCAAAACUUUAGAUUUAAAAGCCAUUUAUGAACUCUAACUACCUGUAUUUAAUGCAUGAGAGUUUUCCACUUUUGCAUCUGGACUUUUCACCUAGCUUCCUUCACUCCAAGAAACCAAAGGUUUUGCCUCUCAUCCUCUGGGAAAACAUCCUCAGAGAUUGUUUGGCUUCCAAGAAAAAGAGAAUAGAAGAGAGAAAAGGAAAGCAAAGAGAACCCUGUAUAUCUCCCCGAGAGGAAAAUUUUACUAAGUGUAAAAAUAUACAAUAUGUUAGUUUUUCGAGAGAUGAUUUCCACACCUUUUAUAGUCUUUACAAAAGCAAAGCCUGUGAUUGGCUAAUUACAGGGAUAAGAAAGGAAUUUACAUCAAAAAAUACAAAAGAAAAGAUCUCAUGUGGAGUCGGCAGAACAGAGGAGAUUUCGCACCAAAGACGCAUGGGCUGGUGCGAAAUUCGCACUUGCAUGGCUGGUGGUGCAAAAUUCGCACUUGCUUGGGCUGUUGUGUGAAAUUCGCACUUAGCUUGAUGCAAUUGUCUUCCGAAUGCCAUAUCUUCCUCAUUUCAGCUCCAAAUCAUACAUGGUUUGAAGCGUUGGAUUUUUGACUUCCUGAGAUUUGAAAUGGUAUAUAGCAUGUAGAAAAUGGACUUCAGAAAGUGCUCCAAAAGUGCGAAGGAAGACUACAGCUGUUGUCCUCUAUUUUCUUCACUCCGUUUUCCUCUUUGCUUUUCUCCUUUACUUGGCUUGUCUUAAUGAUCCAAAAAGCUGUCAAAACACUAAAACUAGCCACAAAUAUGAUUAGAAGUCAUUGCUAGGUCCUUAACAUGCCAAUUGGAAUAAAAAUGGAGAAUUACUAUACAAAAGUGCUUAAAACAUAAUGAAUUAAAAGCGCAAAAUAGCACUUUUUGGGUAGUAAUCAAUAUCCAAGGGGUGAACCAGAGUUAAUAGUCUCAUUAAUAGUUGCAUUGACCUAGGUGGCUUGAAUUUUUUACUUCAGGUUUCUUUGAUUUUGACUUAUAGCCAGGAUGAUAGCCAUGUAACUAAUAGCAUUUAUUUACAGUAUGUCCUUGCAAGCCACAAUGGGAACAUUAGGGUCACUCACGCUUGGGUUUUAAAGUUGAAUUUCUAGAAAAAAAUUGUUAUUGCAACAAAACCAGAGGAAUUUGAAAUGUUGGGCAUAAGAGAAUCGGUAAGUAAAAAAGAGCCUUGAUUGAUAGUACAUUGGCAUUCUUCUUGAACAACUAAUGCAAAGACAUCAUUAAGAUUUGUGUUCAAGUUUGAGCAUUUGACUUAAUCAAACCCAUAAGAAAUUGCAUGAUGUACUCCUAUUGUUGGUGUCUAACCAAUAUUUUGUGCUUCCAUAGUGAUAGACAAGAAUGGGUUGUUAAUUUUUGAGCUCAUCCUAGAGGACCUUGAGCUUAGUAUAGUAUGUGUUGACAUCCAUAGAUCUUUGCUCAAGAACAACUGCGUGUUUCUCAAUUUAGAAGAUUCGUGGGACAUUGCUUUGGUGGAAUCAAUCAUAAAGAUCAACCCAAGCAUUAAAAGUGCUAUUAGCAUAGAGAAGACUAUCAACAAUAUCUUUAAAAAUAGAGUUCAAGAUCUAGGAUGUAACCAUACUAUCACAAUGGAUUCAAACAAAGGAAAUGAGAUUGUCUGUUGGAGGUUGAAGAAGAGUGUCAUCAACCAAGCUGAUCUUGUUCUUAGUUAUAAGAGCCAUGUGCUUAGAUCUACUAUAGGAAUUAUAGUUAGCCCCAGUGAAUUGAUGUGAGACAAGAACCAAGCCUAGGUGAUCUUUAUUAUGGAAGAAAAAUGGACUACUCGAAUCUUCCAUUAUAGAGGAAUUAGGAGUGCUAACUACUGCUCAAUUUACAUUAGCAUUUCCACCACCACAAGCCAUCAGAUAAAUGGGAGGGGAAAGUUAGAGAUGGCACAAAGACGAAAGAAAUGACUUUAAUACCAUAUUAGAAAAUUGACUAGAGAAAGGAAAGAAGAGAAAAUGAGUUCUCUGGUAAUUUUAGAAUAUUCUCACUUGAUGUUUUAGUAAUACAAAGAAAGCCUUUAUAAUAAAGAUUGGUAACAAAGCUAUCACAACCUACUAGUUUACCAGUUGCAAAAAAAAAAAAAAAAAAAGAAGUUACUAACGAUUAUUUAACAAGCUAACAAUUAUUUAACUAACUUGUAAUCAUAUUGCAAGAUACCUAAAUAUUCUAAUACCAUUAAUUCCCACUCCCUGGUGCUCAAAAUAUUGAAUUAGGUGGAAUAAAUAUUGUGUGAUUUUAUUGAAAUUAUGAAUCUUUGUGUAGUUGUUAGAUCGUUGGUUGUAAAUUCAGGCUUACUAUUUGUAAAAUACAUGUGUAGUUUGGUCUUUCAAAUGGAAUUCAUGAAAACUACAAGAUAUUGAAGAGACUAUGAAUUUGAACAACAACAAACCAUUUGAACCAAAUGGAGAUGUGUAGGGUGCAUUAUUCAGUGCUUAAUUUUGAGGUACAUAAUAAUAUAAAGUUGACCCUAGUUGUAGCUAAAGCAUUGGAGCUAAAACCAAAAAGUUCAUUGUCUAUAUACCAAUGUGAGGUAAUUGAUUACUACUCAAAAAGUACUCUUUUAUAGCUUGAAACUAACUGUUUUAAACACUUUUGAGUAGUAGUUAAUACCUUUUAACUCAAUUGGCACAUUAAGGAACCUAGCAAGGGUUACUAAUCAGCUUUUGACAAGUUUUGGUGUUUUUGAUAGCUAUUGGAUCAUUGGAAUAAGCCAAGAAUGAGAGAGAAUUUUGUGAAAUCCAUGGCAAUGAAAGUUGAAGCUCAAAUACAUGAAGAAUCCGAGCUUUGGAGCACUUCAUAGCCCUUUUCCAAGCUUAGAAAUAAGUUGCCAAGCCAAUCAGAGAUACAAGGAAGGAAACCAAAGGAAGAAAUCCAACAACCAGCAUUUUCUCAUAACAUGCGAAAUCAAGAGGAGAAGCAGUUGUAGGAUUGAGAGCAGGACUGAGUGAAAGACAAUUUUGCACACUAUGCAAAAUUUCGCAUACUCUGCGAAACCACAAGAGGCAGCCAAAGAAAUUUCGCACACCAUGCGAAAUUUCGCAUGGUAUGCAAAAUCUUCCUGUGCACCAACUCCGUUAGAUUUUUAUCUCCAGAUAUUUUUGUGUAAUUUCCUAUUUUCUCCUAGUAAUCAACCUAGAUAUUUUCAUAUAUAUCUUUUGGGUAACAUCUUUUGAAAAAGGGGGGGGGGGGUUGUAAAGACCUCUCUAUAUAAGAUGAUCCUCUUGUAUAAUUAUAUAUAUCAAAACAUUGAACACUUGUAAAAUCGAAUAGUAAGAAGUAUACACGGCUUUUGCUCUGCAUUUCUUUCUCAUUUUGUUUUCACUUUUCUUUCUAGUCAAAUAACCUCUGAGGAUGAUUUUUCAGGGGAUGAGUGGCUAGAUUUUACGUUUCUUGGAGUGAUGGAAGCUAGGUGAAGGACCCGAAUGCAAAUAUGGGAGUUGUCCUUGCUUUAAAUGAAAGUAGUUGUUAACCAUUAAUGGUUUUUAUUUUAAGGUUUAACUUUAAAUCCCUUAAAAACACCUUGAAUGGCCAAUACUUGGUAAGCUUUUCGGAUUCUAUGGAUGUUUAUUGCUAGAUCCAUGGAUGUCUAUUAGUUAUCAUUUACGAGCCAUUAGAAGGUGGUUCAAGGUGAGAGUCUUUAGUGUUUGAAGCCAUUAAUGGGAAGCAACUAUCGUUUUUCACGAUGACCAUUUGGAUCAAAUCUUAAUUGCUAAAUAUAAAACCGGUUCGGGAGAUAACCAUUCUUUAUGUUAUUGUCCCCAUUGGGAGGAGAAGAUCCAGAAUCUCCCCCUUUGUCUAAGGAACCCGAUCCUAGUGACCUAAAACUCCAAGAGACCUUUUCUUUGUAGUUAACUUCACUUAUUAUUUUUUCUUAACUUAAAAUCAAUCUUUGCAACCACAAUUCCAUUUUAUUUAAAAGCUAAUUUUCAUAAGGAAAAACACCAUUUUAUUUCCUUCACUAAAGUCAACUGUACGAUGAAAACCCAUCCCUGUGGACGAUCCUAGAACCACUAUACUAUGUUAGCUAUGCUACCCUAGUGUAAGGUGAUUUAGGUUUUAUAAAUUUUGUUGAUAACACCCGUCUGGGCCAGAAUCAAAUAGCACGACUGCAAUGGGGAUGAAUCAGUAAUGGAGAAGCAAUAUGUGGUGUUAAUUAGAUUAAUUCUAAUGCAAAAUGGAGAGAGGAUGAAGGAAGAAGAAGUGGAUUUAGUUAGAAUAAUGCAUCCAUGGGUGAUGAUCAAGGGUUGAGAUGGAGACAAAUAGAGGGCAUGUAUAUAUAUACACACAAACUUUUUCAAUUUGUGAAGUGGAGUAUUUUACCAAGAUAAACCUAUGAUUAGGGUAUUGACAGAUUUUCAUUGCUUAAAGAGAUGAUGCAAAGACAACUUGUUUGACUUGGUAUGGUAGCUAUGAAUUCUUGGUCAUGCAUUUUGGGUUGAUUAAUGCCCUUGCCACUUUCUGCAACCUCAUAAACAACAUCUUAUUUGACUUCCUAGACUCAUUUGUAGUGUAUUAUUUGGAUGAUAUAGUGAUCUACAACUACACUCUACAAGAUCACUUGGUCCACUUUAGGAAGGUAUUGCAAAGACUAAGGUAGAACCAGUUGUAUGUAAAAGGGCCUUAACAUUUGGUUAGUGUGCAAAGUAAACAAUACAACAUGACCAAAGCAAACCUUAAGAUGUUAAAUAAUUAAAAAAUCUACAAAGAAAGAUGUAUAAAAUAGGUAAACAUGAAAACAAGAAGAGAUUAUAUUUGAGUAGAAGUUAAUGUCAAGACAUAUAUGUGCAAAUAGUAGGGUACCAAAACACUUGGAGCAAAAGGUUGUAAGGAAGAGAAAUCUCCAUGACUUGCUCAUUUAUUAUUUUUUUUCUUUGGAAGUUAGAGUGGUUGCAAUUAGAACUAGAGGGUGCUAACCUAAUAAACGGUAAAACUAAGAGUCAUAUAGGAUUUAGGAGGGGCGUUGCGAAUUUGACGAGGGUGAUAAUGAGAGAUUGUAUGGGAUAUUCAAUGGAGAGAAAGGUGCAUGUGACAUUAAUGUGGUGUAACUUUGAAGUAGUAUUGCUUUUUUAUAAGGGUGCUGGUGGGUUUUUUUAUGUUAGCCAUAGGCAUGGAUGAAUUAAUGCAGCGGUGGUGUUGUAUAAGGUGGGGAAGGGUGACAUUUUGUAGAAGUGUGAGUGUAGGUUUUUAGAGGCAGAGAUGAUGGGAAUGGUGGUACAACAGUGGUGAAAGUUGUGGAAUUAGAGAUGGAUUAUGAGUUGCGUGAUAUGAAAAAUUGAUGACAUUGGUUUGAAAAUGUGUAGGGUUGAGGGAUUGAGAAGAGAAUGGUGCCAAUGAUGGGUUUUCAUGGUGUUAGUCCUAUGGUUUUUUGUGGAGAAUGUGGUGUGUGCAAUGAUGAGCCCCAUGCCAUGUUCUCAUAUGGGUUUCCCAAUAUAAAAAAAUAAUGGUUUUUGCCUUAUGAAUAUUAUUAUAAUAUGCUUUUGUAUUUGAGUGCAUAAAAUAUAUUAAUUCAUAUAACAAUUCAAUGUCUUUUGUUCCAUUUCUAUCCCUUAUCCAAUCAUCAUUUUUUAUUUUUUAUUUUUACAGCAAGCAUGCACCAUUUGCAAUACAUAUCUUAUUAUAAUUGUUUUCCCAUUGUUAAGCACCGCAAGGUUGAUCUAUGUUUGCAACAAAAAGGUUCAUCCAAAUGUGAAGAAUUUGUGAGCUUUAAAUAUUGGAACCUAUUGCAAAUAGGAAUGCAUCACAAAUAUGAUUGCUUUGAUGAUUUUCUUUUCCUUUCAAGACCAAUUUAUUAUGUCAAGUAAUGGUUCUCUCAAUAUGUUCUUGAUGUUUCUUAGAGAAUGAUAACGGUUUAAUGUUAUUUUAUUGCUUGCAUUUUCCUCAUCUAAUUUGCAUAAACUUUUCCAAUUUAAACUAUUGGUUCUUUUUUUUUUUUUUGUCAUAUAAAUACAAAUAUUUUUAAAACAAUACGUGUCGUGGAUUUUCUUUAGCAUUUGACUUUUUAAAACAAAUCAAUUUGUCAAUUGUGUGCAAGCAAUAUGAGGUUCUUGGCUUGUCUUGUAAAGUCCUUAAAACUUAAAACUAAUUAUUAAGUUAUUUUAUCUAUUAACUAGUGAUAGGUGUAGAUCUGUUAAGGGAUUUUUUUGACAAUAUGAUAUUACUAGUGAAUAAUGAGGAUAUUUCAUAAAUAUAGCUUGAUGAAUUAGGAAAAGGAAAAAAGGAAAAAAGGAACUUGAUGAAUUUUAAUGGUGAAUUUAGCUCAAUGUCCAUACCUUUGAUAAAGGGGUAUCCAUUACAAACUUGAGAGAAAAUACAUUCAAGAGAUUUUUAACUCAUAUGAGUUGUGAUAAAGUUGAGUCUAAUUUUUUUUCCUAUAAAGAUGAUAAAAUGACGAAUAUUAUGAACUUUUACCCCAUAAACCAUAAAAACAUACCAAAAACUUUUUCUUUUUCUUUUCAAUUUUUAGAAAACUUUUAUUGAGAUUCUUUUUAAUAACUAUUGUACCCUUACUUUAAAAUGUUGUUUGUUUUAUCUUUUUAUUUUUUAUUUUUUACCAUACACUCUAUUUUUGAACUUGAUAGUUCCUAAUUUUUUUCCUCUUUAUAUUGUUUUUUUUUUUUUUUUUUAUCUAAAGAUUUAUGAACUUUAUAAUGAGGUUACAAAUUUAUUGAUGUUUUAUGGAUGGUAUUAUCAUUUUUGUCUCAAUUCAUUUUUAUUGCUUUCUUUUCAAUGGAAUAAAAAAAUGUGAACCAAUGGUGUAAAUGAAACUAGCUAUUGAUUUCUUAAAGUCGCAUAUAGAUUUGGAUGAACUAUAAUUUAUAUUUACAACUCAAUUUUAUGGUUAGGAAGUGUAUCAAUCUACUCUUUUUGAGUAGGCAUUUAUAGGUUUUUUCUUUUUCUUUUUCUAUCUUUUUUUUUUUUUUUGAAAAAACAACAUGAAUUUCAUAAUUUAAGGGGAUAGUAAUUUUAGCAAUUAGUUACUUAACUUUAUAGUGCUAAUACUUCACCUCAUAAACUAUAAAAACAUUCUAUUUUAUAUCAAUUUACUUAGUCCUUACCAUUUUCAAUCAGGAAACUAAUGUUUUUUAUUAUGUUGAAUAACUAGGGUUGAUUUUACUUUGAUUACAAAACAAUAUUAAUGUUAAAUAAUGAAUUUUCCUAAAAGCUUAAUUAAGUUGUUAGAAUUUGAGCACAUAACAUAUAUAAUGGUCCAACACCCCUCUUCUCUCAUAUGUGAGCCCAUACCUACCAUGGGGAGCACUUUAUGGUCAUAAAUAAUCAGAUAGAUAAAUAAUGAGGGGAGGACUUGGACUCAGGACCCCUAUUAACUUCUCAUCAGCAACCUCAUAUCUAGCCUUCUUUUUACUCAAUAAAUUAGGGAAAUAAUAUGUCUUUAGGUCCAAACUAAUAACCUUCGAAUAAACAAGACUCUAAUGCCAUAUCGAACUUUUGAUUUUUCUAAAAGCUUAAACUAUUAAGAUUCGAUCUCAUUCUUUAACACUCUCUUUCACAGCAACCCCAUACCCUUAUAUGAAGAGAAAAAUUUUCCUAUACAACUAACCUCAUUUUAGACUUACAUUGAGGCUCAAUAAAUCAUGGAAAUAAUGAGGUGAGAUUCAAACACACAACCUCCCACUAAACAAGACACUAUUGGCAUGUUAAGCAACCGAUCUUCCUAACAACUGAAGUUGUCAUGAUUUGGGCUCAUAAUGUACAUCAUGCUCCAAAAUUAGAAAAAACCUUCUAACUCCUUUCAAGUAUUAAAUUAUAUAACAUUGUUUUCUUCAUUCGAAAGUCAUAUUUAGACAUAGGCAAAUCAAAGUUUCUAAGCCUCGGGCUUUUUCAAUAUUUUUCUCAUAACAAAAUCUUAGAUCUCACUUCCAUUUUUUUUUCUCUAAAAAAGUAUCUAUAAAUUUACAACUAAAACUUGAAAGUUUUAAAUGUCCCAAGAGUUUAAAAUGAGAGCAAAGCGAGAGUAGAUGAUUAUGUAGAGAUGGUAGCAGUAAGAUCAAGGAUAACAACAAUAUCACUUUUUUUUUCAUUUGGAUAGAAAUGAAGUUUUUUUAUAAUGCUAUGAAAUAGUAUUUUGAAUAUUAGUUAUUCUAUAAGGAUAUACACACUUCUUCAUAUGACACUUAUAAUGAAGACACACUUGUCACCUCUCUCAUUUAAGCUAAAAUGAUAUCAAUGUGUGUUAAUCCAACCUUGGUAAGUAUAAGAUCUAAUUGCUAAACCAAGACGCUCAAACUAAUCUUGAAAUGCUAAUGGUUAGGGAAACUAGAUUUACCACUAAGGACACAAAGUCCAUUCCAAAACCUUGAGCUUUGCUCAUGAACUAGGUAGAUUUAUAAACAUCAAGGCAUUAUGGUAAGGCUGACACAUUAGAAGGAGGUAUAAAAGAUCAUAAACCAAUGACAACUAUUAGUUUUUAGGAAGCAUGUAUUUUCUAGAAUAAGAAUAAAACAAUUAUCAGAAGCACAUGAUACCAUCUUAAGGAAGAAUAGAGUAAGAAACACCCCUACCCCCCUCCCUGGCAUUCACUAUGGGCAACAUCCAUGCUUCAUAGGCAUCCAUGUGACUUAGGGUCUUAUUGAAGAUAAAUAUUCAUUUUCAAAUAAUGUAGCACUAUGGCAUAGGAGAUAUGAAGGUAGAACAUGGACCUAUCCAUGUAUCAAAGAUUAAGGGCAAGAAAAGUGUAAUGAAUGUCAUGUUUAUUAGAGAGAUGUCUUCGAUAUGUAACACUAAUCUUUGAGGCAUGAUGCUAUAUAAUUAGUCAAACUCACACAUCAUCAAUGAGACACAUGAAAGACAAUGAUUGAUCGCCAUGGGCUUUACAAAAUAAGAUAUCAACAUUACACUUCAAAAUAAUAAGUGUACAUGUCGUACUAAUUUCACAUUGGUUUUUAACAUGGAAACAAUAAAAUAAGCAUAACACAAAUUCAAAAAUUUGAGACUUCAAUCACAAAAUUGAAAAUAUUAAUUAAAAUGGUAUAUAAAAAUCAAGAAAAAAAAAAGCAAAAAAUACAAAUACUAACAUAAAUUACUAACUUGAAAUCUUAACAUUUAUACAAUUGCAAGUCUCUAGUUUUUACUUUUUCUUUCUCUUAGUUUAUACAUUUUUGUUCAAUUUUAGUUUCUAAACAAAAAUUAGCUAUUUAAUUUUAUGUCAACAUUAUUGAAAUAAAUUGAGAGCAAAUUUUAGGUAUGUGAAAAUGGUGAAAUGGUAGAGAAUGAAAGAGUUUAAAAAUAAAUAAGAAUUCAAAAUAUUUAAGAAUUAUGUUGCUUAGUUUAGAGAGAGAUAAUGAAAUAUGAAAACUAUUAUAAGGAAAUCAUUAAACAAAAAAUUGACAGGCAACAUUGCUAGAAAUGUCCUCAUCUUCUUCCUCUUCUCCAAUUCCUAGUUCUAGUGUUAUCUUCAUUUUUCUUCCUCUUUCCCUACUCAUUUAUUACAUCUUCUUCACUCUAAAUUCAAGACAAAAACCAACUAAGAAUGAAAAAAAAUAAUAAAGGACUAUGAUAUUGUCUUAAUUUGAUAUGUCUACUUUUUAUUUAAAAAAUAAAGAAUUGAGGUUCCAAGAGAAAAGCAUAGGUCCAAAUAUAAUAUUUUUUUUAAUUUUUUUUUAUGUUUAAAAAAAAAUAAGUAUGUGAAAUUAUAUAAAUUUUAUCAUCUUCUAUGUCUAUCCUCCCGCUUAAACCCUAAUCCUAAUGUAUUUUUUCAUUUUCAAUCUCUCGCCUUCUUCAUUUUUCUCAUUAUAAAAAAAAAAAUAAAUCUAUGAAAAUGAUGAUGAAAUAUCCAAACAUGGUAAAAGAGAAUAAUAGAAAACAAUAGACAAAGAUAAACAAUUUAUGUGUUUUGACAAUAUGCCUUCAUCUAUGGUAAUGGUAAGAUGAAUGCACUAAAGAUAUCAAAAUAAUAAACAACAAUUACUAGCAAUUCUCAAAAACUCUCUUGCUCUAUUUUCCCUCAAUGAAGUUUCUUGGGAAUUUUGAAUGAAACUAAUAAAACCAAUUACAAUUCUAAAUUUAUACCUUUUUAAAAACCUAAAUAGUAAUUAUAACAACUACAACAACCAAAAUCUAAAUGUUCUAGUUCAAAAAGUCAAACAUAUAAUUGACUAUGUAAUAUUUAACUAAGUAAUUUAAAUGAAGCUAACCAAACAAUCUUUAAGGAUUUUGCAACUACACACCUAAAGGUACAUUGAUCCUUUCAACAUGGAUCACAUUUAAACAAUGGCUAAACUUGACUUUAGGAAAAAUCUUUCUCAAAAUAUGACCUACCUCAUUAACAUUAGCAAUCUUUCUAAAAUAAGAUCUGACUUUCUUCUAGAAUCUCUUAAAUAAAAUGAAAUUAGACAUCAAUAUGCCUUACCAAUGAGUGAUGAAUUUUAUUCUUAAAUAAAUGUAGGGCACUCCCAUUAUCAUAAUAAAUCACAAUGUGAUCUUGCUUUACUCUUAAAUGUUAGAUAAAUAUCUUUGAUAAUUACAAGUAGUAAAACGAAAAUCCAAGAUUGUACCUCCAGCCAUAGCAAUCAAAUUCACACAAAAUAGGGAUUAGUUGGCUAGUCCUUACAAAACCUUAUGUUCAUGCACCGAUGGAACUCAUAGACUUAUUCUUGUAUACUAGAGACUCUUCUUCCCUCUUUUGGAAUUAAUCAUGUAUCUAUCUAUUUAUUUUCUCUUCUUCCCAUCAAAGAAAACUUCGGGUAGUUUUCAACCGAGUAAUAUGUCCCACGUUUGUAGACAUGGGUGGUUACUCCAUAAGAGAUACGCCCCUACGUUUCAUUUAUUUUAGGGAAAAUAAUAUUUAAAUAGGCCACAAUUUAAAAUAAUUUUAUUUUAUUAAAAAUAAAAAAACUGUUUCCAACAUUUCUCCUACUUGGCCCAUAAAAAUUUUUUAAUAUGUAUUAAUUAAAUUAAUACAUAACAUAUUUUUCUCUAAAUCCUUAUACUUAAUCAAAAGUGUUUAAAGCACGUGAAUCAUGGCAGUAAGUCCUCUAAGAAUAAUAUUACCUUCCAUGUAUUACAAUGUAACUUUCUCUUUUGAAUAAGAAGAAUACAUGAGUCAUUCCUUUAUGAAUGAGUUUCCAAAAUUCUCAUUCAAGGUCUACUUAACAUUCAUAACAUGCAUAUUUUCAUUCUCUAAACUUUAUGUAUACAACCAAAUGAGAAGACAAGAUUGAAAUAAUUAAAGUUUUCAUAUUAACCAAAAAAUGUGAUAAAACACAAAAGAUGUCUCAAUUACAUAAAAUUUACAAAAUAGAAUUGAGUCCCAUAUGUUCAACCUGUUCUUUAUAAGCCUUAGGUGACAAUCCUUUCGUCAAAGGAUCCGCAAUCAUCAAUCCAGUACUAAUAUGCUCAAUAUCCACCUUGUUUGACUUAACAUGUUCCCUAAUAGAUAAGUACUUUAUGUCGAUGUGUUUACUACGACUUCCACUCUUAUUAUUCUUAGCCAAAAACAUUGCAGCAGAGUUAUCACAAUAAAUCUUCAAUGGCUUAGAAAUUAAGUCAACAACUUGAAGCCCUGAAAUAAAACUCCUCAGCCAAAUAGCCUGUGACGUUGCUUCAAAACAUGAAACAAAUUUUGCUUAUGUGGUCGAAGUAGCAACCAAUGUUUGCUUUGCACUUCUCCAUGAAAUGGCCCCUCUAGCUAAUAAGAAAACAUAUCCAGAUGUUGACUUUCUAGAAUCAAGGCAACCAGCAAAGUUAGAAUCUGAAUAUCCAACCACAUCCAAAUGAUCAGAUCACAUGUAUGUAAGCUUGUAGUCCCUAGUCCCCUUAAGGUAUCGCAUGACUUUCUUUGCAGCUUCCAGUGUUCCAGACCUCGAUUACUUUGAUAUAUGCCCAACAUUCCAACUGCAUAAGAAAUGUUAGGUCUUGUACAAACUUGAGCAUACAUUAAACUCCUAACUGCAAAAACAUAAGGAAUAUUUUUCAUCUCUUUCUUCUCCAAAUCAUUACUUGGGUGGUUCAAACUAAAUUUGUCACAUUUGACAAUCGAUGCAAUACCAGGUGAAUAAUCCUUCAUGCGAAAUCUCUCAAGCACUUUAUUGAUAUAGGUUUCUUGAGACAAUCCUAAUAUCCGUUGAGAUCUAUCUCUCUCAAUAUUUAUGCCAAUGACAUAAGAAGCUUCACCCAUAUCUUUCAUAUCAAAUUGUUGCCAGAGAAAUCGCUUCACCUCAUGAAGCAAGCCCAAAUCAUUUGAAGCAAGCAAAAUAUCAUCCACGUAUAAGACUAAGAAAAUCAUUUUGCUCCCAUUAACCUUAUGGUAUAUACAUUGAUCCAUAACAUUUUCUAUAAAACCAAAUGAAGAAUUAACAUCAUGGAAUUUUAAAUACCAUUGACGGGAUGCUUGUUUUAGUCCAUAUAAGAUUUCUUAAGCUUGCAAACAAUGUGAUCAUUUCCAUUUGUGAUAAACCCUUCUAGUUGUUUCAUGUAAACCUCUUCCUCUAAAUCUCCAUUAAAGAAAGCUGUUUUCACAUCCAUUUGAUGUAGUUCCAUAUCAAAAUGAGCUACUAAUGUCAUGAUUAUCCGAAAUAAAUCAUUCUUGGAAAUAGGAGAGAAGGUAUCAUGAUAAUCAAUUUCUUCUUGUUGAGUGAAUCCUUUAGCUACAAGUCUUGCUUUAUAUCUUUCAAUAUUGCCCAAAGAAUCUCUUUUAGUCUUAAAAACCCAUUUACAACCAAUUACCUUUGCACAUUUGGGCAACUCAACAAGAUCCCAUACUUGAUUAUUAGCCAUUGAAUUCAUCUUAUCUUUUCACUUCCACCCAUGGCUUGUGAAAACGUAAUAGGGUCAUCUUCAACACCACUAUCAAUGUCAUAUUCUUGUAAGUACACAACAUAAUUAGAAGAAAUUGCAGAUCUCCUUUCUCUAGUAGAUCUUCUUAAUGUUAUAUCAACAUUCCCUUGUUAAGGAUGUUGAAUAACUGAAUCCACCAAAAAAUCCUCAUGAUGUGGUUCAUUAACAACUAGUGUUUCUUGGAUUGUCAAAUCUUGAUGACUAUCCGGGAAAAUAAUUAAUCCACUUGAAGACUCAAGAGUGGGUUCAAUAUUGUGGCGUUCCUCAAACACUAAGUGUCGAGAUUCAUUGCUCUCACUAAUCACAUCAUUCUCCAAAAACCUUGCAUUCUGAGAUUCUACAAUUUUCGUAGCACGAGAAGGACAAUAAAUUUUGUAUCCUUAGACUUUUCUGCAUAGCCAAUGAAAUAUCCACUGACUGUUCUUGAAUCCAAAUUUUUCACUUGUGGAUUAUAAAUUUUAACCUCAGUUGUGCAAUCCCAUACAUGUACAUGCCUUAGACUGGGUUUCCAACAUUUCCAUAACUCAAAAGGCAUUUUAGGAACUGCCUUAGUUGGAACCCAAUUUAGUACAUAUGUUGUUGUCUUUAUGGCCUCACUCCACAAGGAUAAUGAGAGGUUGGAGUUACUAACCAUACUCCUAACCAUGUCCUUUAGGGUUUGGUUUCGUCUUUCAGCCACACCAUUUUGAAUGGUGAGCCGGGCAUUGUGUAUUGGGCAACAAUGCCACGUUCCUGUAGAAACCUUGCAAAUGGACCAGAUAAUUGUCCUCUUUUAGUGUACCUACCAUAAUAUUCACCACCUCUAUCGACUUCACAAUCUUAAUUUGUUUACCAAAUUGUUUCUCUACCUCUGCUUUAUAGAUUUUGAAAGCAUCUAGUGCUUCACACUUAUCAUAAAGCAAAAAGAGAUACAUAUAUAGUGAGUAGUCAUCGAUAAAAGUGAUAAAAUAUCUUUGACCAUUUAAGCACAUAUCAUAAAGACCACUAAUGUCAGUGUGUAUGAUUUCUAAAACAUCAAAAGUCUUCCUAGCACUUUGCUUCUUAGUCAUGUUGAUCUGCUUUCCCUUAAUGCAGUCCACAUAAAUAUCAAAAUCAGUAAAAUCAAGAGCCUCAAGGACUCCAUCAUUUACCAAUCUUUUAAUUAUUUCAAUAGAGAUAUGACCUAAUCUCUUGUGCCACAAUGUGGAAGAUUUCUUAUUUAUAACACCACACUUAAUGCCAACAUUUCCAUGCAUAGUUGUAAGGCUAUGAUUAAAACUUUGAUUUAAAUUAAGUUUUAAUAAACCAUUAUCCAAAAUACCAUCACCAACAACAACAUUGUCUUUUAUCAAAUGAAAUGAAAUAUCAACAAAUUUAAAACUAAAACCAUAUGGUAAAAGUCUCGAAACUAAAAUAAGAUUCCUAGAAAAUGAUGGAACAAAAAAAAAAGUUUUCAAGGUUUAAAACAAAACCAGAUCUAAGAACAAGUAUGUAGGUCCCAAUCGCUUCCACAUGUGAACUUAUCUGAUUUCUUGAAUAGAUAGAACGUUCACUUUCCGUUGGUUUCCUUUGGUUUAAGAAGCCCUGCAUGGUAUUGGCAACAUGAAUUGUAGUAUCAGAAUCAAUCCAGCAAGUGUUAUAAGAAAUAUGAACCAUAUUAGAUCUGUAACACACUAAAGAGAUGAGAUUACCAUUCUUUUCAAGCCAAGCUUUAAAUUUGGGACAACUCUUCUUGAUGUGUCCUUUCUUCUUGCAAAAGAAGCACUUGAUAUCGCUCUUAUUAACUUGAUUAAAAUGUGUCUUUUGCUUUCCUUUACCUGUCUUGCCUGGUUUCUUUUCUUAAGUCACCAAAUGUGCACUUUCAAUCCUUUCUUGAUUUAGUCUCCCUUCCUCUUGCACACACAUGGUCAAACAUUCAUUGAUAGACCGUUUUUCCUUAUGUGUGUUGUAUGAAAUCUUAAAAGGUCCAUACUCAGAUGGAAGAGAAUUAAGAAUGAAGUGAGCCAGAAAUGACUUAGACAUCUCUAAUGACUUAAGUUGAGCAGCAAUAUCCCUCAUUUCCAUUAUGUGCUCAUGCACUCCUUUGGUGCCAUUAAACUUCAUAGAACACAUCUUUGUCAUUAAGGUGCUAGCCAAAGCCUUGUCAGAAGCCUCAAACUGUUGCUCAAUAGCCUUGAGAUAUUCUUUCACCUUAGCACAUUCAAAAAUUGAACCACGAAUACUUUUCCUAAUACUAGGCUUGAUAAACAUCAAACUUAAGCGAUUAGAUCGCUCCCAACGUUCAUAUGAUGCUUUCUCAGUUUGGGUACUUGAUUCCGUAGGAACCAGUGGCUCAUUCAUACGAAGUGCUAAAUCAACUUCAAGCAAUUAGCAAGCGUCUUCUCUUAAGGUUGUUAAGUGUCCCUUCAAUACCUCAUAUUUAAACACUUAUUUUAGCCCUUUUUAAUACUGAUUUGAUGUUGGCAAGAAGCCACUACAACUUCAUGUGGGCCUCAAUGGUUGGUCACUCUCAACCACAUAUUCAAUAACUCACUCACCUAUUUGUUUCAUCUAUAGGUUGGACAUGCCACUACUAGUUCCCACAAUUUGCCAUAGUGGAAGACUAUUAUGAAAAUUUUAGCUGUAGUUUACCCUUAAUUAAGUCACUAAUCAAUCCUACUAAAUAUUUUAGCUGUAACCUACCCUUAAUUAAGUCAUUAAUCAGUCCUAUUAAAAAAAAAUUCUUCAAAUUGGUUCUACAUGAUGAAGACUAAGCAAAUUCAUUACUAUUAUAUUAUUUAUUAGUUUAUUUAAAAUAUGAAAUUUGUAAAAGGGAUAAUGAAAUAACUCUAACUUUUGCUAGUUUUAUUACAUUACACUAUAAGUUUAUCAUUUUUGUUUAAUUAUUAAAAUAUUUUUAAAUAUUUUUAAAUAUUCACACUUGUGUUUCAUGUUACCAUUAAAAUUAGUCACUAGUAAUAUAAUUUAUGACUUCGAUAUAUACUUAGCUUUUAAAAUUUUAUUUUAUAAUAUGGUUUAAUUUAUAAUUUUGAAAUAUGUCUUUUAUAUAUUAGGAGAUUCCAUUAUAUGUGGUUUAUUUGGUAAUCCAUGAAAACUCGUGGGAAUCCAUAGAAACUUUAGUUGUCAAUGAGUUUAGUAACUACCAACCUAACUUUGAAUCGAGUUUAGCAUAGGUUGGACAUAUUGGUAAGUAGGUUUGGCUUGGUUAGCCAACCCUAGCUAAUUGGUUGCAAAUAUUAUUCAACAAAUAAUCAAAGACUUCAAAUGCAAUAACUAAUUUAGUUCUAUUUUUAAUUCUUCUUUACCAUAAUUAAUCAACUCACUUGUAACAUUGUUAAGGUGACUAUUUAAAACCAUAUAACAAUUUGGUUAAUUUACAAACAUACUAUUCUUUGCUAGGUUAUUUACGGUUUUUAAGAACAAUUAACACAUUAAAUUAUUUAAAAAAUUAUUAUCAAAUUUAAAUUUUUUUAAACUUUUAAUGUUAUGUAUAAAAAAAUUAAAAUUUUAAAAAUAUAAAUUAUUAUUAUUUUUUCUUUUUCUUUCUAAAAAUGAGAAAAUAGGAAGAGCAGGUUAUUGGGUAAUUUGGUAUAUAUGAGUGUAUUGUUAAAGAAACAUUAAGAAGUGUAGUCACAGUAAAUUAUAUAUAAUCCUAAGUUCAAAAUUUGUCACUAAUGAUACUUUGAAUUUACUCUAUGCUGGUUGUUGCAGCGUUAUUAGCACCGCGAUAUUUGGGCUCCAUGGAGAGUUCUAAGGGGGUCUUCAUGGAUGACAUUUAAGAGUGUACCCUGGACAUUACACUUCAAUAACCUGUAAAUAAUAAUAACAAUAAAAUAAUAGUAAUAAUAAUAAUAAUAAUAAUAAUAAUAAUAAUAAAUGGUAUAGAAAGAACAUUUUGGAGGGAUUAUUGUCGAAGGUCGGUAUGCUCACGUCUUUCCCGUCGAAAGUUUGCCUUCACCAGCUGAAGCUGCUUUCACAUCAUCAGGUGCGUCAUUCACACUCUUCUCUAUUUCAUUUUUACGCUUCUUAUUUAUUUCUUGGAUUUAUUUUUUGUGUUUGUUUCUUCAAUUUCCAAUUCUCUCUCACAAUCCUCUUGUUUCAAUCCAGGGUUUCAAUCCCAGCAUUCCUAGGGUUCCCACAUUCCACAAACUCAACCAUUUCUCCCAAUUCCACCACUAUCAUCGUCAUCUGCGUUUCUGCUCAAUCAAUGGCCAUGCUGGCGUGAGUCUGCUCUCCCAAUUCUGCAAAAUCUCUGUUUUUUUUUUUUUUCCUAUUUACAUGCGCAAGCUAUAGGGUUUUUCGAUUUUAUACAGAAAUGGGGAUUUCUCACAUAAGCUACUAUGUGGAAAUAUUGCUGAAAUAUUAUUAUAAAAAUUAUGAAAUUAAAUAGGGAAGUAUAUUUUAAUUGCAUUUCUGUAAUCAAUACUCAUUGAGGCAGUUAGGAUGUUAGUGGGAUUAUGGUUGUAGUUUGGUGUUGGAAUGACAUGCUGAGAUGAUGCACAUGUCAACUAGUAAGAAAUUUUAGUAUGAUUUGCUAGUUCAUAAACAUUUGCUCGGUUAGAUAAUAGAGUUAGGGCAAUGUUAAUUGGUGGGUGAAAAAUAAGUAUAUAUAUAUAUAUAUAUAUAUAUAUAUAUAUAUAUAUCCGAGAAUUUUAUGUGUUUCAACCAAAAAUAAGUCUAUUCCCUCAGCCACAUAACACUAAAUUAUUGGAGAUUUAAAAAUAUGGGUGUUUCCUAGAACUUGGAUAGAAGUACCUUGCAAAAAUUUGAAGAGCUCAAAAAGAAAAACAGAAGACCAAAGUUCUUCUCAUUUAAGGGUGGCAUGGUCCUGAGGAAGCCCAAAAUUGAAGCUUCUGACAACGGUAGAAUAAUAAAUUGAUACCUAUAAAUAUGGAAUUUGGCAUAAAAUCUAUGAAAUAAUUUUUAUCCAUACGUAGAAUUGUAAAUAGUUUUCUGCCUCUAAGCUUGCCUCAAGCAGCAAGUGGUGGGUUGGGAGGGGCAGGUUUGAAAUUGAAUUCUAUUUAUCGGUAGAAAAAAAAAAAAUUCCAUACUAAUAAAAUUUUUUGCAUAGUUUUCUACAAUUGGUUCAUUCAAUGGCAAAUGACAAACUUUGUUGCUUUAUUUUAAUAAGCAUUACCUAUAAAGUUCCAAAUUUUGAAAAUUAUUUUGCCUAUUAUUUUAAUUUUCUUAGUGUAAGAAAAUUAAAAUUCCUUUUACACUAAUUUCUAUUAGACUCAAAGACCUAAAGGAAACUUAAAUUUAAUAAUAUAAAAGAAGGUAUUUUUUAAUUGCUGUCAGGAUUUUCUUAGUGUAAAAGGAUGGAACCUUAAUUUCUAAUGACUGAUGUAAAUUAUGAUAUAUUAAGAAAUUAGUUAUACACCUCAAACCUCAAUAGACGUAGUAGUCAAUUCAUAAAAACAUUGGCUUUUCUAACUCAAAUAAGAGAAGACAUUGGAAAGGACUUCAUAAAAUGUGUAUUACCUUAAGGAAAUUUUGGAGUGGGUUUGUGAGUAUAUUGUGAGUGUUGUCUGACGACGAUCUGACUGACCAGAAAGUAUUGGGAGAUGGGGAAGGUGACCGGAAUGAAACACGGUCACCGGAAGGUUUCCCGGAGUUGAUGACACGGGAAACAGGAAAGAAGGUUUCCCGGAGUUGAUGACACGGGAAAUAGGAAAGAAUUAGGUUUUCUUCCAGUCGCCGGCCGUAGAAGUGCGCGUGGCCGGCGCGUGGAGGGUUUUCUGGCUCUGAUGCUUUUGAAAAAGUUGGAGAUCUCCUCCAGGCGCUCCUCUUGGUGUGGUCGGUGUCGGAAAAAUAUGUCGCCGGAAAGUUCGUCGGAAAAUUUCGCCGAAAAAUUUCGCCGGCGGUGAGUGUUGUCUGACGACGAUCCGACAGAGCCCUAAUACGGCUUCAGAUUGCGGCGUGGCACCACCGAAAAAGGGAGACGGCCUCAGAUCGCGACGUGGUACCACCAGAAAGGUAGAAGAACACUUCCCAAGGCACGUGCAGGGAUUGGGGUGGAGAGAAAGUAGCCGGAACUUCGCCGGAAAGGCUGUUUGGAGGGCUGACGGAGACAAAAAUCCCCAAAAGAGGUACGUGCAGGGCUCGGAUGGGAGAACCAGGUAGGUAGGGAUGCUGGUCGGCGGCAGGCGAGGCUGGAGGAGGAGGCGCGUCGCCGGAAAAGGCCUCACGCGCCGGCGCGUGAGAUUCAGUCGCCGACCGUAUUUUUUUUUUUAUUUUUUAUUUUUAAAGGAGAAAAACCUUAAUUCUCAUUCAUGUGAAAAACUACUUACAAUUGAGAGAUAUAUAUAUAUACAAGGCUAGGAGUCCUAACUACCAUACAUGUGACCUAUAUUAACAAGGAAAGAUAAUAUACUAUAAAUACAUUAUAUUCAACAUAUAUAAUUCAAGCUCUUCAUCCAAAAUCUUGUCACAGGCUUUUAAAAUUGUAAAUUACUUAGAAAAUGGUUUCUAAGCCCUGCAAAGGAAGAUUUGGAAGGUUUUAUAGUCUGAACCUAUUAUGGCCUGCUACAGGCUAACUUGUACAGGUGUAGUGCUGAUUGGAGAUGGGUACACGUGUUAUGCAUUCUGAUAUGUUGGUGUGUUUUGGUGUCAAUUUCUGGUGAUACCAUUUCUAUUGGUUGAUAUAAAUUUUUCUGUUUUUUUCUAGAAAUUAAAAUUAAGAUUUGAUCUUGGCCUAUACUUGCAUGUUUUUCUGGGUAUAAUUUGCUUACUACCAGUGUUUUACUUUAAUAUCUUUGGAAAUUCUUUCUAUGUAUGACUGGCAUGUUAGUGUGUCCAAUGCUAAUUCUGGCAUGUGUCCACAUGUCCAUACUAUUCUAUAUUCUGGUAUGCUGAUGAAUGGAAUUAUAUGCCUUCUUGCUAUGGGACUCAUUGUAAAGCUAUUACGUUUUCCUUAUUUGAAAACUCACCGAGGCUUGAUGUUCAAGGCCUCAUUUUAAAUGGAAAGUAUGUUUACCUAAUCCUCAAGUAAAUGGAGAUGGUUUGUCUACACUAAGAACAUGUCAUAGUAAAUAUCGCCCCACAAAAAGCAGACACGCAUUCAGAGAUACACAAAUUUGCGGUAGCUAUGUCUAGAUUAGUUACUUGUUUGAUCCUAUAUAUGUGCUAGAAUGCAACUACAUAUCCAUUGAUCAUAGGUUUUUUUCUCAAUAUAUUCCUUGUUCCUUUCAUUUAGUUUUUCAUUUGUGGAAAACAAUUGAGUGUGAUGAUAUGCUAUUUGUUCAUUUGUUUGUCUUCUGUUUUUUUCAUUGAAUUUUGAAUAUUGCUUUUUCAACAUUGCCUUUGUUGUAGGUUAGGCUUCUGGCAUGUCAAAUGGUCAUGACUACUCUGCCAACCAUGAAGGUAUCAAUAUCUUUCAAAUGAUAACUGGAAAAAUGGUGUAGCUUUUUGUGAUACCAUAUUUUACAUUUGAUAAACUUGAUAUUUCUAAAAAUCUACUUAUACAUAUUUUUAUAGACUCAAGUGCAAAGGGCAAAAAUGGUGAAGGAGAACUGCACACAUCAAAAGAGUACUUCCUACUUGCCUUACAAUGCUAUUAGUCUAUGUUAUAGACAACUGAUUUAUUAAUGAUGGGAUGGCAGUUUAUAUAGUUGUUUUUGUGUACCCAUGUAUUUUACAUUUUACAUAAAAUGUUUUGACUGAUUGACAGAGUCAGAAAGGGAAUUUUAUCUGGAGGCUACUUAAUGGGAUAACAUGCUAGGGAAGAAUACAUUGUGUGGAUUAUAAAUAAAACAAGUGUGGGUGAUAUGCAGUCACAAUUCUUAACUUUACUGUUUGAACUGUUUUGAAUGAAUUUCAUUUAUAGCGGUAUAUUCUUCUAUUCUUUAACAUGGAAUUUUUUUGGAAACAACAUUGUUUAAUAAUUUUCUUUUAGUGUACUUCUAAUGUAAUGGUUGUUGGAAUGUUUACCCAUUUAUAUGCAUUGAUGGACCAGGUUGAAGUCCUUGUCUCCCUGUUUAGAACUUGUAGAGUCAUUUAAGAUAGAACUUGGAUGGUUUCUCUCUUUAUGAGCCAAUAUUUUAGGCUUUAGCUGUAUUUUUCAAUUUUAUUGUCUUACCUUUACCAAACUAUCAUGAGGUCUGUGCUGCUAAUAGGCAUGUGGAAGAAGCACUAAUGGAUGCGAAACAAGUGAAUGAGAGAUUUUAAAUAUGAUUAUUCAAUGUGUAUGGAAAUGACUAAAAACAUGCAAUUCUCUGAAGUUGAUAAUUUGCCAUAUGAUCCGCAUCUGAAAAUCCCUCACCAAAACUUAAUCAUAACUUAAUUUCUCCCUGCAUUCGCAGCUCAUGGAUCCUCAAUGAUGUUUUACAUCACAUUCCUUGUAUGCUCAAAAAUAUUGUCAGUUUCAACACUGCACAAGGGACAGAAGAAUGAUUGAGAAUUUUCUGUCUUAAGUCCACUACAUCCCACCAAAUGGCAUAACUUUGUCCAGCCACCCCAUGCCGGUAGUGGAUGAAAUUUACCUGCAAUUUCUCAAUAAUGGAGACAAGCCAUUUAUUGAUCCACGUGUUUGUCAUUCCAAAGCAAGUAGUGAAACUUCUUGAAUGUGUCUGACCAGCCUCUAUGACAUAUGCACAUACAUGCAUUUAUCUAUACAUAUAAUAUGUCUGUAUUAUACAUGGAAAUCCCAUGUUUCUUUUCUUUCCCUCUUUUUUUUUCCUCCUGUUUUUCUUUUCUUUUUUGUAUCUUCCUUUUUCACAUUGGGAGUUUGAAAUUCAAUUUCAAUGCAAGGAUUUGGUCGUAGUCUAGGUGCUAGCAGUGUAAUAGCCAAACUAUUGCAACAAUGUCUUUUCUUUCUUUUUCUAUGUAACCUUAUGAAUUUAAUGUAGUUUGUUAACAUUAUUGGAACAUGACACAAAAGAUUCAUUUUGUCUACUGCAUGAUUAUGCUUUAGACCUUUUCUCAGUAAAUAAACUAUUGUUUGGAUUAGUGAUCUUGUCCCAAUCAUUUUAAUUUCUCUUCUACUACUGAAUUUCAUGCAAACAAUCUGUAAGAAGUGAUACCUCAAUCCUUUUGCCCUUUGUAUGCUGAAAUGCAUGUCUACUUACAUUGAGAGUUCAUUCUUGCUUAACCUUUCAGUCUUCUAAAGAAACUGAAGAGAUAUGGAAUUUCUGGAAUAUUAUCCUAUGGACUCCUGAAUACUGCAUACUAUCUUACAACGUUUCUCUUGGUAUGGUAAGUACAUAAUUCAUUCAUGUAAAUUUGUCAAGGAUGAGGUAUCUGUGACUUGUGAGUAUGCAUAGCUGCUGAGCAUUAUUCUUUUGAAAUUUAGGACUAUUUGAUUUAUUGUUGUUGUAUAUAAUUGAUGAAAAAAGUGUCUGGCCUAAAACUUAUGAUUUUCUUUUUGUUCAGUCAUUUAUUGUCUUCAGCCAUUUAUUCUUUGGUUGAUUAAGAUGCAAAUACUUGGUUGUUGCACAAAAAUGAAUGUUUUUCUCACGCCUUGUUGGACCAUUUACUUGUGCAUAGUCACCUGAUGAUGUUUCUACAAGAUAAUUUUUUUUAAGAGAUUAGUACCUAUUAUUCAGCCUCUUUAUGCUCAUACCAUUUUCAUUGAUCUAAUUAAUAAAAUAGCAAUAAAAAAGUUUAGUUCAACAUUAGGAACAACACUACAUAAACUGUAAAUGUCUAAAUGAACAAGAUGAAAAGGACUAGUACUCCUCUUAUUGAUUAUAGAACAAAAAGGACUAGAACAACACUAUGGUGAUGCUAUUUGCUUGACUCACAAACUUGGUGCUUUAACUUGGAGUCUAAUAUAACUAGAAGUCCCAUAUGCUAAAGAUGUGAAGUGAAAGGUGUGCCACUACAUAGAAGAAAUGGAAGUAUGUAGAGCAAUUGGAGUAAGAGGUGGGCCGAUAUGGUGAUAAAUUCCAUUUACUUCAUGCCCUCCACCAAUUGUCUUGUUCAUUAAGAGAUCUUGAAAUACACUAUGGGAAGGGAAGGAAUGUUGCAAAACAAUUAAGUGACUUGGUUAAUUUGCUUAGAGAUAAAAGAUUUAUAGGAACCUUCAAAAGGGAGAUUCCAAGUGGAAGCGGAAUUUUCUAGAUUUUCUUGAAUUAAUUAAAAGGGCUUAAAAUGCUCUUUUAAGGGGGGUGAGGGUGGGGGUGACUCAAGGGAGACGAGGUGGCAUGGGCAUGGCCACACUUAGGGGCUUCUGUGCAAGUCCUCAAACAUGAGCAAGGCACAUGGGCAAGCCUUGCUAGCACCCAUACAUGGGCUCCAUGACAUGUGAUGGUGUGCAACUCAAGGUUGCAAUGACAUGGGGUGCUAUGCAGUCUUCCCUUCCCGACGGUAGCAUGAGGGGGAAAUGCCUUGUGCAAUGAGGUGGCUUGGCACAAGGGCACAAUGCCUUGUGCAUAGAGAUAAGGGAAGCCGACUCAGAUGUGAUGCCUAAUGCUUAGCACAAAGGCACAAUGCCUUGUGCGUAGAGAUGAGGAGUCAUGGGUGCAAUGCCAUGACUCGUUGCUGCACCAAGAAGAGGGCUUGGGCAUGGCAUGAUGCCAUAACAACAGCUAGGCAGAGCAAACUUGGGCAGGUUGCCUCGGCAUGGACGUGAUCCAGAUGCGGGAACACAUAUGAGCAUGACUGACACGCUCAAGGAACAACAAGGGGCUACAGCCAAAGGAAAGAUUGGCACCAAGGAAAAUUGCUAGAUCUGUAGGCUAAGAGAGGGCUUGGCAUGCACACUAGUUGCAUAGAGACACAUGUAGUAGGCUGCCUAGAGACGCUAUAGCAAGCUGAUCGGAUGCAUCAGCUGAUUCAAAUGCAUGAAUGGACUGACUCAAGGCACAAGAGUGGGUAGACUUCAGGCAGAACACAACAAAGAUGUCUUGGCAUUGGGACAAGCUUAAGGAAGAUGUAUUGCACCACAAACCAGGGAAUUGAAGGGCUGAUACGUGGCCUGAUACAAGAGGUAGCAGCACAAGGAGUUUCAAAUGAAUGAGGAAUGGGCCGAAGACAUUUGAAAGUUCAGAGUUGAAUUCAAAUUGUGAUUGUAAUUUGAGUUUGAAUAGGAGUUCAGAUUCUUAUUUUAAUUGUAGUUUGAGUAGAACUAGGAUUCCUUGCUCCUUAUCAAAUAGGGAGCGGUUGGUGUCACACCUAUAAAAGGAGGACUGGAGUGCCCUUUUAAUUAUCAUGCAAUCUGGAGAUCAUAGAGAAUAUACAGAGGUAUAUUGAGAGGGAGAACUUUCUUAAAACAUAGCUUGAGAGAGAGCAUGAACUCACCAAAGAGAUUGUGGAAGUCUUGUUGAGCUAUGUGUUGUAUUGUUAUUUAGAGAAGAAAUAAAAUACAAGUUAGGGAUUGAGCUCCAUAGCCUUGUGUGUCUUCAUGAGUUUUUUCUUGAUUGCAAUCUCAUGUGGGUUUGAGUAUGUUGGCUUAGAGGGGCUUCUAAGCGCUGCGUGGAUGCGAAAAAUUUGUGGGAAAAUUCGUGCCCAUGACAAAUACCAUCCCAAGUCAUUUAAACUUGAUAGAUUGAAGUAACUUACUUGAAUAACAAAAUGAGCAAACUGCAACUUCCAGUGGAAAUCAAGUUUGCAACUAGGAGUUAAUAGUUUGGAGACUGCUUUAAUACCAUUUUAAGGAGAAGAGAAUGUACUUACUCUUCUUUCAUUCUUUUUUAUUAAAUAUUAGAUACUGAUAUGAAAUUUUUAUUUGUUCAAAAUUUUAAAACAACCCUAUUCUUGUGCUGUACAAUGUAUAUUAUCGUAUAGAGUAUUGGAAAACGGAAUUGCAUGAAACAAUUAAAUUCAAGACUUUGCAAUUUCUCAUCCCCUCCUCCCCACCUUACCGACUGUACGCAUUACCUCUGGUUCUUAUGGCCAGUGUAAAUGACAUUGCCAACAUUCAAGUCAAUGCUUUUGUUAUUGACCUUCCCAGCAUUGUGGCUGUUAUUCCCAUCUGAAUUGGCUUUUGAUCACUUAUUGAUGGCAUAUUCAACUAUAGCAUGUCUAAAAAUGAACUUAUGGUGGAUCUCUUUAUUUGGCAAAGGUUAUAACUUGGCUUUCUGGAUCUGGAAUGGGGAGUCCUUGUAUUUGGUUCCCUUCAUUAUGUCAUAUAAAGAAGCAUUGCAUUUCCAUCUGCAUUUUUAUCAAGCUUAUAUUCAUGGUAGAAAAAAUUUAAUCUGAUAUACUGGGUCUUAACUUGCUUUAGUGGAUAUUAUUUCAAUGUGAUGUUAGUUGCACAUGAUGGAAUACAAAUGUGACAUCCAUGCCCCUCAAUCUAGAGUUAUUAGAAUGCUGAUCUAGUUCAUAAACAUCAUGCUUAAUUAUUAAUACUGGAAACCGACAUAACUGGGAUUCAUGGCUAACAAUUGCAUAUUGUUGCAUAUGGACAAAUUCAGUUUGUUAAUUUUUUUUUCUUUUUUGUAUUUUAUGUUAUGUUAUUUUAUUUAUUUAUUUAAUUUUCUAAUCAAAUACCUUAUAAUGUAGUUUGAAAUAUGCCUUGGUGUUUUACCACAUCCUGCAGUCUCUAUCAUAGGUGUUCAGAGUAGAUUUCAAAUAACCAGUAUAACUCUGAAUUCACUAUGCUGCUUCUAGGUUUUAUAUUGCUCCAGCACCAGGAAGGAUGGGUUAUUUGGCGGCAGUUGAAAGGUAAAAACUUAUUCCAAAAAGUUUCUUUUUGCACAAGUUUUUCAAAAUAUCUUGACAUAUGGAAUCCAAUUGGCAGAUUUGUCAAAAUCAUGGCUAUGGUGUGGGCAGGCAGCCAGGUCACUAAACUUGUCAGAGCUGGAGGGUAAGCAGCUAAAUUCUGUUUUAAAUCUUUAGUUAGCGUAACAGUUUAUUGGGAUAUUGCAAUGCUCUCAACACAAAAUAACCCAAAAUCAGUGAAUUUCCCUAGUUCAGAGAUUUAUGCUCGAUUCCUUCAACAAUGAGUUUUUAGGCCUAUCAAUUCUCUCAUAUAUGUUUUCUGUUCAUUUUCUUUCUUAUCCUUGUAACUUUCAACUGGGUUUAUGAUGAUUGUUUAGUCUAUCAUGCUGCUGCUUAUUUGAAUCAAAAUGACAAUUGAAGAAUUAAAAAAAAGGGUCUUCAGGAAAUGGUGGCAAUUUUUGAACCUAGUGUUGAUGAUGGGCCUUGCAUUUUCAUUUUUACCGAGGAGGUUAAACUUACUGCUAUCCAACCCAAUCUUUUGACCUCUGUAAUCCAAAUGACUCCUUAUCCUUUUUUAUUCUAUAUUUCUUUGAUGAAAAGGCCUUUUAGCGGCGUUUGUAAAUAAAAUAUUAAAUCAUUCGUACAUGCUUUUUCAUUACAAUGACAUCUGGGGAUUAUUUGCUGCAGCCUCCUGGUUUCCAGUAGACUUGUUUCUAUUUAUUUAUUCAAAUUUUCAUUUGGGUUAGAAAAUAGUAGAAAAAUGCUUUUUCCCCCUUGGGUUUUAUGUGAUUUUUGUAGAAGUGCUUCUCAUGCAGGGCCCUUGCACUUGCACCUAUUGUAGAUAGAGGAUUGUCAUGGUUUACAUUAAAAUUCAAGUUUGAGUCUCAGGGAAAGGUAAGUAAGUCAUACAUCAGAUUUUGAUAUUGUUCUCACCUGCUUAACGAUUCCUUACAUGUCUCUAGUUACAUUUCCUCUGCAUCCAGGCUUUCACGGCGAUUGUCGGAUUUUGUUUCGGGCUAGCUCUCAUUCUAUUCUUCAUUGUGACAUUGCUUUGGGCAUGACACAUUUUUCAGUAUUUUUCUCAAUCAUCCAGGCGGAGAACCUCUUUCAUUAACUAGUAUUUCUGAAACUCAUAAAUUGUUAUUCUUUUUCAUAGUUCGGUCAGUUAUCUCUCAUCUUCAUUUCACUAUGAAUUGUGGGAUCCAAGAAAUCUCACAAUUUAGCCUAUAUUUGGAUACAAUUUUUAUUUUUUAUUUUUAAAAAUAGAGUUUUAUAUAAAAUAUAGGAAUUUUUAUUAAAAAAAAAGUGAAUUUCUUGUGUAUUUGAAAAUAUUUUAAUUUUUAUUUUAUAUCAAAAUUUUAAUUUUAAAAAUAAAAAAUAGAACAUGUAUCCAAACAUAGCUACAGUUUCUAUUUGAUUAAUUUAGUUUUACUUGAAAUUUGUAUAGUAUUAUUACAUCAAAGCUCUACUCAGUUGUAGAGACAAAUUUUAAUUAUGAUAAGUUAUUAAUCUUGCAUGAAAAUUAAAAUAAAGUUUAGUGUUUGGUUGAAUUAAAAUAUAAUUUAUUUACAAAGAUUAAUGAAGAAAAAACAAAAUCAAGAAAAUUUUUUUUGUUUAUCCGAGAUUGGAAAAACACUGAUUGGAUCCAUUGAAAUAUGUUUUUCUAUCAUAUAUUUGUUUCAACUAGUAUUUUGGAUGUUUUUGUUUGAGUUGUAUGAAAUGAAAUUCUCAUAUAUGGUUCUCUAAUGGAAGGAAUUAUGCUUACUGUUUAGUACAAAUAGCUAUCCGAAAGGAAGAAUAAUUUGUACUGACUAAUAUCUUUAUAUAUUAUAUACUUGUUCAAAUUUAUCAUAUCUGUUGUGUCAUAAAAAUAGAAUUGGUUGAAGUUGAUCAAAUAUAAAAUAAAGGACCUAAGGGGCUUCCAUUUAUAUUUCUAUCUAUUUUUGUGAUGCUACAUUUAUAAAUGGAAAAAAAAUAAAACGAAAAGUUUAGUGUUUUGUUUCCUUGAAUUUAAUGAGGUUACUUUUAUUUUUUAUCAAAUUUUAAUUUCUUUUUUCUUUUAAUGUAUUUAACUCAAAAAGGGUCUUUGCAUUUAUGUGGUAUAUGAAGGUGGACAAAGUAUAAUAAAAAACAUUUUGAUUGUAUUUGAUUUUUGAAAAAUACUAAGGAAAGAAAAAAAAAAUAUAAAGAAAAAUGAUUUUUUAAUGUUUGGUUGUUCUGUGAAAAAUAUAAAAUAAAAUUAAAUAUAAUUAAAAUUAAUCAAAAUUUUAUGUAUGUUUAAAUUAUUUAAUCUUUAUAUGGAUGAGUUCAAAUAAAUAAAAUGAGUUUGAAGUAACAAAUAAAAAUAAUUUAUCGACUUUUAAUCUAUUUUUUAUUUUUCCUUUCUUUUUACUUUUCCUUUGUAUUUUUUUUUCCUUACAUUUUUCCUCAGAUUUUUCGAAACCUAACAUGGCCUUAAAUUUUGAAUAUUUUUAAUUCUUUUAUACUUUAUAUGAAAGAAGAUUAAGGUUAGGAAGUAUUGAAGAAAGAAAAAAGAAAUGCUUGGGGGGAAUUCAAAUUCUUUUAUGUGGUUCAUAUGGAAAGUCGGGGGAAAAAUAAAAUGCAAUGAAAAAAUGUUUAAAUUUUAAGCAAUUUCAAAUUCUUCAUUGUUAAUUAUUAUUAUUAUUAUUAAUAUUAGUAGGGUGAUUUAGAGGUCUUUUGCGCUUUCCUUUGCUUUUCUUUCAUUUUCUCAUCAAUCAAUUAUGGUGUCUGGCAAAUAACGUGGACAUCUGGGUCCACCAUCAUCAAUGAUUCCUUUAGGUCUUUUGCAUUUUGGUAAUCCAAAAUUAGUCAUUUGCAAUUUGGUGGUAUCGCGAUACAAAUUGAUAGCUAUAUUCCUAUUGAAAAGAAUAUUUAACUAUUAGAUCAGAAGUAUGUUCGAAUUGUUAUCAAUAAAAGUGUCAUUUAAAGAAAUGUUUUUGGAAGAUGCUUUUUUAAGGAAAUAUUGUAAAUAUUUUUUUUUAACUUUUUUAAAAGUUUAAUUUUUAUUUAAAAAUAUUUUUUAUAUUAAUAGUGUUUUAAUUAAAAAAAUGUGCAUGUCUGAACUCUUGGUUAAAAAGUCAACAAUCCAUAUUUAGCUUUUAGGCAGGAUGAAAAUGUCAUAACCUUUGACACGAUACAUAGAGGGGAAAUAUCGGAGCCACGAUAUAUCGCUGCCACGUCAUCAUCCCCAUUUCUUUUUUUCCCCAAAAUACUUAUAAGAGACCAAGACCCAAUACGCACUCUUCCCAGCCUAGCGCGUGCUCAGACCCAACAUGCAGCGUAGGUCCAACGCCAGCCCGGCGUGCUCUGCACGCAUGUUAGCCCUCCACCACUUCAAUGUUUAAAUACACCUUUUUGGUGUCAUGCACCGUCGGUGUGGGAUUGCAAGAACUAGAAUUUUUAAAAGGCAAGGGAAAAUCAAGAGGAAUGGAACCAGUGAUGAAAGAAUCGAAAAAUAUCUCGAAAUAUCAGCAAUAUUUUGGAUAUCGGAGGUGGUCGAAAUGAAAUCGGCCACUGAUUAUCGAUUGGGGGAUUUUUUUUUGGGUAAAAAAUCGAAAUUCUCGUCGAAAAAUCUGAUGUGAAGAGCACGCGCUCGUGGAGGAAAUUUUCCUCCAAAAAUCACCGAUUUUUUCACGAUUUAUGAGCGAUUUCUUUGAAAAGUCACCAAUUUUUUGGGUGAUGACAUUUUUCCCUGUUUUUUUUUAAUUAUCCAUUUUAAAUUUAUAUUAUCAUUUUAUUUUAUAUUAUCAUUUUAUUUUUGACUACUUUUCAUAUUUAUUUCAUUAAUCCUCUUUUUAAAAAUUAUUAUCACUUCACUCUUAAUUUUUUUUUUUUUAUAUUUAUCCUUUCCAUUUUAUUUAAUUUUAUAUGUUUUUAUUUUAAAAUAUUAAAAAUAUAAUUUGACCCAAAAAAAUUGCUACAAUAUAAAAAAUUAAGGAAGUUCUAAUAUUUUAUAAAUUAAAAUUAAUUUGAUAAGAUAAAUUGUUAAUAAUUUUAAUUGUUUAAAUAAAUUAAUGUUAAUAAAAAAAAGUUGUUAUCACAUAUUUUUAAUAAAAUUUUAAAAAUUAAAUCUCAAAUAAAAUAUUUUAUAUAAAUUAAUUUAAUAUUUCAUUUAAAAUGUAAUAAAACAUAUUUUAAUAAAAGUAUUUUAAAAAAUUUUAAAUAAAUGAAUAUAAAUGUAUUAAAUAAAUUUAAACUAAUUUUUUUUAUAAAAAUUUGAUAAAUAUUAUCUUAAUUAUACUUAUGUCAAUUACACUUACAAAAUAACUUUAAUACAUAAAAUAUUUCAUAUUUCUCCGAUAUAAUGGUGCUUACGGAACCAAGGGGAUUUGAGCCCCUACACUCAAGCUCAAACUUGCCCUUGGCCGUAGCUGAUUAAAUGUACAUAUUAUAUAUAUAUAUAUAUAUAAAUCCCCCACCAACACCAACCGAACAACCAUGCUUCAAUUGAUUAAUUUUAAUAUAUAAAUAUAUAUAUAUAUUAUAAAUAAAUUAAUUUUGGUUAUUAUGACUUUUAUAUAAUAAUUACAUAUAAAAUAAAUAUAAAUUUUUGAAUAAAAUUAUAAAAAUUUUAAAAUAAAAAUACUUAUACAAAUUAUCAUUAUUAUUUUUAUCAUUAAAUAUAUCCAAAAUAGAUUAAUAUAUAUGUUUUCAAGUUAUAAAAAUUAUAAUUAAAUAUCACAAUGGUACAUAUAUGAUAAUUUAUUUUAUAUCAUUUAAUAUAAUUGAAUUAAAUGGAUCACAAUUUUAAUAUUAAAUAUAUUUUAAAAUUAGACAUAUUAUAAUCAAAUAUCACAAUAUUAUUAUAAAAUAAUAUUUGAUGUAAUUUAAUAAUAAAUAUAUAUUUAAAAAAUUCAUAUUUUUUAUUGAUGCAUAUGAUAUUAUUAUCAAAUAUGAUAAAUUAUAUUACACAUAUAUCAAAUUCUUCAACAAAACAACUUUAAAAUGUUUAUUAUAUUUUUAAUUACAUUUCUACGAGGUUUUUCUUAUAUUUCCAUUAAUUUUGAUCAAUUUUAGGUCUGUCGAUAUUUUUUUUCAAAAUAUAUCUCCAAUAUUUUCGAUAUAUCCAUAAAAUCGAAGUACCGAUAUAUCCGUGAUUACAAUAUUUUCAUCCUUGCUUUUAAGUUCAUUGAACUUUAAGUGCACUAAUGCAACACAUUUAUCUUUCUUUGGACCUUUUAUUUUUAUUUAUUUAUUUUUGUUUUGUAUUAUUCCAAUUGUGGUUGUCAAAAUAGUUAAAAAAAAUGUUUUUAAAAAUUAUUUUAUGAUAUUUUAUAAAACAAGGCUAUGAGAAGAUGAAGCAUUCUUAACUAAUUUUCUACAUUUUAAAAAUAAUUUUUAUCUAGAUUAUUUUAUUUUUUAUAUCUAUAUAAUUACUUUUUUAAAAUAAGUAAAAAUAACUAAAAGGAUAUGAUCUAAAUAUACCUUAUUUUUUAUUUUUUAAAACAAAAAUUAUCUUUUAUUUUCUAAUUAUUAAAUAUAUUUUUCAUUUUUUUAAAAGGUUUGGCAUCACAUUUUUUUUUUCCUUUGCUUUUCUUUCGUUUUCUCAUCACUCAAUUAUGGUGUUUGGCAAAUAAUGUGAACAUCUUGGUCCACCACCAUCAAUGAUUCCUUCAUGUCUUCUAUAUUUUGGUAAUUCAAAAUUAGUCCUUUGAGAUAUGGAAUAGCAACGAAAAAUCCUACUAGUUUGUUUUGUUGUUUUUGCUCCACCCGCCUUACAAAACUAUGUUUGGCAUCACCAUUUUUGCUUUUUCUUUGUUUUUCUUUUGUUUUCUCAUCACUCAAUUAUGGUGUUUGGCAAAUAAUGUGGACAUCUGGGUCCACCACCAUCAAUGAUUCCUUCAAGUCUCCUGUGUUUUGGUAAUUCAAAAUUUGUCCUUUGAGGUAUGGAGUAGCAAUGAAAAAUCCAAUUAGCUUGCUUUGUUGCUUUCGCUCCACAUCUUAUAAGACCAUGUUUGGCAUCACAUUUUUUGCUUUUUCUUUGCUUUUCUUUCGUUUUCUCAUUACUCAGUUAUGGUGUCUAACAAAUAAUGUGGACAUCUGGGUCGUCCACCAUCAAUGAUUCCUUCAGGUCUUCUGCAUUUUGGUAACUUUUUUUGAAAUUUUUUUAAUUUUUUAAUUACAUUAAAAUAAAUAUAUUUUAUAAAUAAUAAAAUUAUUAUGUUUUUUAUAAUUUAUUUUAUUGAAAAAAUUUAUUGUUAUUAUUAUUAUGUAUUAAAAAUAAAAAAAUUAAAAUUAAAUUAAAUUAAUUUUAAAAAAUAAUUUUAUAUAUAGUUAGGGUGGAACGGGACAAGGCAAUACUCAAACCCACCUUGAAUCCAAGGCAAUACUCAAACCCACCUUGAAUCCAUCUCGAAUUUUUAAAAAAAUCCCAAACUCUUCCUAAAAAUGAAACUUGCGCAAUGCCAUACAUAAGAGAUUUUGAAUUCAAAGUUAAAACAUGAAAACCUGAAUUAUUCUCCGAAUUUUUUAUAAUGAUUUAAAAUUUUUCAAGUUACUAGCUGUUCUCUUGCUUUGAUGAUCUCAAUAUUUGAAAAGUAAUGAAUUUAAAAGAAGGUGAAAACAAAAUUAUUAAUGGGUCUUAUUUCUUUCUCUCUCUCUCUUUUUUUUUUUUUUUUUACACAUAUCUCAAUUUAAAAAAAAAAUUAUGUAACCAUCCAAAGUUUUAACCACCAUGAUGUAGAAAACAACAAUUUUCAUAAUUUGUUAAAAAAACUCCCAAAUAAUGAAUCAUAAUAUUAGUUUAUAAUACAUGUAUAUAAUAAUGAAUCAAAUAAUAAUAUUAUCAUUAAAUAAUAAUAACCAUAAUAUUAAAAAUUUUAAUGUCUUAUGCAUAUAUCAUUGUUUACAUGAAAAUACUAAUAAACUUUAAUAAUAAUAAUAAUAUAUUAUUAAUAAUAAAUUUUAUAACAUUAGGAAUGAUAAAGUUAAAACAAAUAUUUGUGUGUAUAUGUCUACUAAUAAUACUACAAGAAGAAAGAAGAAAGAAGAAAGAAAUGCGUAGAUGAAAAAGAAAAAUACUGAAUGUUUGUCGAAGUGCCACCCACCGUCCACUUGCUUUUGUCUUGGGGAAAGCGCAUCCACCUUCCACUUGCUUUUCCUUUUCUUUUUCUCACCACUCAAUUAUAUGGUGUUUGACAAAUAUCUGGGCGGCUGGGUGCACCACCAAUAAUGAUUCCUCCAGCCAUUCUGCAGUGUGGUAAUCCAAACCCAGUCUUCUGCAGUUUGGUGGUAUCGCGGUAACAGACACCAAUCCUCUGAAUUCCUAUUGCAAAGCAACAGUCGACACAGAUAUGGCGGACGUCCUCCUCUCAGCUUCGCUUCAAGUUCUAUUCGAAAGGUUGGCUUCUCCAGAGCUCAUAAACUUCAUUCGGCGACGGAACCUUAGCGAUGAACUCCUCAGCGAGUUGAAGAGGAAACUCGUGGUUGUUCUCAAUGUGCUCGAUGAUGCGGAGGUGAAGCAAUUUUCCAACCCAAAUGUCAAAGAGUGGCUCGUCCAUGUCAAGGGUGCUGUGUAUGAUGCGGAAGACCUGUUGGACGAGAUCGCUACCGACGCUUUGCGUUGCAAGAUGGAAGCUGCUGACUCCCAAACCGGCGGAACUCUUAAGGCGUGGAAAUGGAACAAGUUCUCUGCUUCUGUGAAGACUCCAUUUGCUAUCAAAAGCAUGGAGUCCAGGGUCAGGGGCAUGAUUGAUCUACUGGAAAAAAUUGCACUAGAAAAAGUUGGGUUGGGGCUGGCAGAGGGUGGGGGCGAGAAACGGUCACCAAGACCAAGAUCACCAAUAUCCACUUCUUUGGAGGAUGACUCCAUUGUUGUCGGCAGGGAUGAAAUUCAGAAGGAGAUGGUGGAGUGGUUGCUUUCUGACAAUACAACAGGCGACAAAAUGGGGGUGAUGUCCAUAGUGGGCAUGGGCGGCAGCGGCAAGACCACGCUUGCUCGGCGUCUCUAUAACGAUGAGGAAGUGAAGAAACACUUCGACUUGCAAGCAUGGGUCUGUGUUUCCACUGAGUUUCUCCUUAUCAAACUCACCAAAACAAUUCUUGAGGAAAUUCGUUCUCCACCUACUUCCGCUGACAACCUAAAUUUGCUUCAGCUUCAACUCAAAGAGCAACUUAGUAACAAGAAAUUUCUGCUUGUUCUUGAUGACGUCUGGAAUUUGAAUCCUCGUGAUGAAGGUUAUAUGGAGCUUAGUGAUCGUGAAGGUUGGGAACGUCUACGAACUCCACUCCUCGCUGCAGCAGAGGGAAGCAAGAUUGUUGUGACCAGUCGUAAUAAAUCUGUUGCAGAAGCCAUGAAAGCGGCCCCUACUCAUGAUCUUGGGAAAUUAAGCUCUGAAGAUAGUUGGUCCCUGUUUAAAAAGCAUGCAUUUGGAGAUAGAGACCCGAACGCAUUCCUUGAGCUUGAACGCAUAGGCAGACAGAUUGUGGACAAGUGUCAAGGAUUGCCUUUGGCUGUGAAAGCACUCGGCUGUCUCUUGUAUUCUAAGGACGAAAAAAUGGAAUGGGACGAUGUGUUGAGAAGUGAAAUAUGGCAUCCGCAGCGUGGCUCCGAAAUUCUUCCGUCUUUGAUAUUAAGCUACCAUCAUCUUUCUUUACCUCUGAAGCAUUGUUUUGCUUAUUGUUCUAUUUUUCCCCAGGACCACCAAUUCAACAAAGAGAAGCUGAUUUUAUUAUGGAUGGCAGAAGGUCUUUUACAUCCACAACAAAACGAAGGAAGGAGAAUGGAAGAGAUCGGUGAGUCAUAUUUUGAUGAGCUUCUUGCCAAGUCUUUCUUUCAAAAAUCUAUUGGAAGAAAAGGAUCAUGCUUUGUAAUGCAUGAUCUAAUACAUGAAUUGGCUCAACAUGUGUCCGGAGAUUUUUGUGCUCGAGUGGAAGAUGAUGAUAAAUUACCAAAAGUAUCUGAGAAGGCUCACCACUUUUUGUACUUUAAUAGUGAUUAUAGCUAUUUGGUAGCAUUUAAGAAUUUUGAGGCUAUGACUAAAGCUAAAUCUCUUCGAACAUUCUUAGGAGUGAAGCCAACGGAACACUAUCCUUCUUAUACUUUGAGUAAAAGAGUUUUGCAAGAUAUAUUACCAAAAAUGUGGUGUCUACGCGUGUUAUCAUUAUGUGCAUAUGAGAUAACUGAUUUGCCUAAAUCGAUAGGUAAUUUGAAACAUUUGCGUUACUUGGAUUUGUCUUUCACGAGGAUUAAAAAAUUACCCGAAUCAGUAUGUUGUUUAUGCAAUUUACAAACGAUGAUGCUGGGAGGAUGUUCUAGACUUGAUGAAUUGCCUUCAAAGAUGGGAAAAUUGAUUUAUUUGCGCUAUCUUGAUAUUGAUGGAUGUAAUUCAUUGAGAGAAAUGUCAAGUCAUGGAAUUGAUCGAUUAAAAAAUUUACAAAGGUUGACUCAAUUUAAUGUGGGCCAAAACAAUGGAUUAAGAAUUGGAGAAUUGGGGGAGCUUUCAGAGAUUCGAGGAAAACUUCAUAUUUCAAACAUGGAGAAUGUGGUGAGUGUUGAUGAUGCAUCAAGGGCUAAUAUGAAGGAUAAAAGUUAUCUUGAUGAGUUAAUCUUUGAUUGGUGUACCAGUGGUGUUACACAAAGUGGUGCAACAACGCAUGAUAUACUCAACAAGUUACAACCUCAUCCAAAUUUAAAACAACUCUCCAUCAAACACUAUCCUGGUGAAGGAUUUCCAAAUUGGCUUGGAGAUCCUUCAGUGUUGAAUCUCGUGUCCCUUGAGCUUCGGGGUUGUGGCAAUUGCUCAACAUUGCCACCACUUGGACAGCUAACCCAGCUUAAAUAUCUGCAAAUCUCAGGGAUGAAUGGAGUAGAGUGUGUGGGUGAUGAGUUCUAUGGGAAUGCUUCCUUUCAAUUCCUAGAAACACUAUCAUUUGAGGAUAUGCAGAACUGGGAGAAAUGGUUAUGUUGUGGAGAAUUCCCUCGUCUCCAAAAGCUUUUUAUACGAAGGUGUCCCAAACUCACUGGGAAAUUACCAGAACAGCUUCUUUCAUUAGUGGAACUUCAAAUUCAUGAAUGUCCGCAACUGCUUAUGGCUUCACUCACAGUUCCUAUAAUUCGUCAGUUGAGGAUGGUGGAUUUCGGUAAACUGCAGUUGCAAAUGCCGGGUUGUGACUUCACAGCUCUUCAAACUUCAGAAAUUGAAAUUUUAGAUGUGUCUCAGUGGAGUCAACUUCCAAUGGCACCACACCAGCUCUCAAUUAGAGAAUGUGAUAAUGCGGAGUCUCUGCUAGAGGAGGAAAUCUCGCAAACCAACAUACAUGAUUGCAGUUUUUCUAGAUCUCUGCACAAAGUUGGUUUACCCACUACACUGAAAUCACUAUUCAUCUCUGAGUGCUCGAAAUUAGAGAUUCUCGUACCUGAGUUGUCCAGAUGCCAUCUCCCAGUCCUUGAAAGUCUAGAAAUCAAAGGUGGUGUUAUCGAUGAUUCUCUCACGUUAUCCUUCUCAUUAGGCAUCUUCCCCAAGUUGACUGAUUUCACAAUCGAUGGUCUUAAGGGGCUUGAGAAGCUCUCCAUUUUGGUUUCAGAGGGUGAUCCCACAUCUUUAUGUUCCCUGCGUCUAAUUGGUUGCUCUGAUCUUGAAUCUAUCGAAUUGCACGCUCUCAACUUGGAGUCUUGUUUGAUUGAUAGGUGCUUCAACCUUAGGUCGUUGGCACACACACACUCAUAUGUACAGGAGUUGAAAUUAUGGGCUUGUCCAGAAUUGUUGUUUCAGAGAGAGGGUUUGCCUUCCAACCUACGUAAACUUGAAAUUGGCGAGUGCAACCAACUCACGCCCCAGGUGGAGUGGGGUUUGCAAAGGCUGACCUCUCUUACUCAUUUCACAAUCACCGGUGGAUGUGAAGACAUUGAAUUAUUUCCCAAGGAGUGUUUGCUGCCCUCUUCUCUGACUUCUCUUCAAAUAGAAAUGCUUCCCAAUCUCAAGUCUCUUGACAGCGGGGGUCUUCAACAGCUCACCUCUCUAAAACGAUUAGAUAUUUAUGGAUGCUCGAGGCUCCAAUCAUUGACAGAAGCGGGUCUUCAACACCUCACCUCUCUUGAAACGUUGUGGAUCGCACACUGCCCAGUGCUCCAAUCAUUGACAGAAGCGGGUCUUCAACACCUCACCUCUCUUGAAACGUUGUGGAUCCUAGACUGCCCAGUGCUCCAAUCAUUGACAGAAGCGGGUAUUCAACACCUCACCUCUCUUGAAACGUUAGUGAUCGAAAACUGCCCAAUGCUGCAAUCCUUGACAAAAGUGGGUCUUCAACACCUCACCUCUCUUAAAGCAUUGUAUAUCAAAAACUGUUGUAAGCUCAAAUACUUGACAAAAGAAAGACUUCCAGACUCCCUCUCUCUUCUGAGGAUCUCCGAGUGUCCUUUACUGGAAAAACGGUGUCAAUUUGAGAAAGGGAAAGAAUGGCGUUAUAUAGCUCACGUUCCAAAAAUAAUGAUCAAUGGUGUGCUAUAUUAAUCAAAGUGCCACUCCGCCAAUAUAGAGUCAGGUAAUUCCUUUGCGCUUGAACUUUUCUUUCAAGUUCCAAUUCAUUCGCUAGUCCUAUUUAUUUGAUUUAAGAUUUUCUUUUUCUUGAAGCUUCAAGCCUGAAACAAAUAUUGAACACAUUUUCAUGCUCUAUUUUUAUUUGGUGGUUUGCAAGAAUUAAAUGAACCAUUUAUAACUAUUGAAAAAUUAAGAAAAAAAUAACGUAAGAACCAUGGAUAUUUUGUUUGUUUUUUUUUCUAGGAAUUUUUUUUUAAAAUUUCUUAUAUACAGGCACAAGAACAACUCUACGACAUAUUCUAGUUAGCUGCCUUAUUAGCAAGUCAUUCAAAUUGCUUUGUUUUUUUCUUGCUUCAAUAUAUCAAAUUUUAUGGACAACUUUAAUGACUUGAAUUUCAAUGCUUUUAAAUAAUUUUAUUCACAAUUUCAUGUGUUUGAUUAAACUCAUUUAAUUGAAAUUAAACACGUUUAAAUUAUCGAUUUGACAACAUCUAAAACAUUUUUGGUUCCUCAUAAGUGUUAAAUAAAUUUUUCCUAGAUUUUUGUUUUUCCCUCAAUUUUCCGAUAAACAAUCAAACAAGAGAAAAAGUUUACAAUUUUUUUCCCUACUUUCCCGUAAACUUUCUGAGAACCAAAAUAGUUUUAUAAUUUCUAAUUUUAAAAAAUUAUCAAAUCAAACUAAUCGUCAUUUUUUGUGUUUUUUGUCUUUUCAUUUCAGUGAUCAUUGUAAGUAAUCAGGAUGAGCAUAAAAGAUUUCUUAUGAUAAACAAAGUUUCGAUUAUGACCAUGGAAGAAACAUGUAAGGUAAACAACGAUAAUUUUAUGCCAAUGUUUUUUAGAUAUGAGAUCAUUUAGAAUUCAUGUGAAGUAUUUUAUGAUACUUGAGUUAGUCAAAUUUUUUAGAUGUUUGAACUCUCCUUUGGUUCAGCAGCUUGCAGUGAUUGGACGGCCAUGUAAAAUGUGCUCUAACCAAGUGGACUUCUGCAAAAGGUAAGCAAUAGGCAUAAAUCUCUUCUUGAGACAGUUGAUGCACUUAUUUUUGUCUCAAUUUUGAUGAUAUUUUCUUCAUGUUAUGACUUUUGCAAGGAAGUGGAAUAUGAAGAAAGAUAGAUUGUUCAGAUUUUCCCUGUAGAGGAAGGGAGAUUCCUGGGUGCUCAACACUUGAUGCUCAUUGCUCUGUUCAAGAAGACUAAGAAACUCAGAGGUAUAAGGUUCAUCUCCCUAUAAUUAUCUCUAAAAUUUUUUAUUAUUUCAUUUAUACAUUAAUCAAUUGAAGAGAUUCGGAUCCUCUUCUGUUAAAUAUCUACUUGUGUGGGAUUUUUGAUUUCAGGAUCAGUUUCAGAAAUUGCUGCUUGGCCCAUGGGAAGGUUAACAAUCCCCUCAACUGUGAAACAGUUUUUGAUGAGGUUGGCUAAAUGAUCAAAUUCCACCAGUUCACUAUGAUUUAUACUGUAACAUGAUCAUUGGUAUAAACCCUAAAGUUCUUAUAUAAAUGCUGAGAAUCUUCUAUUGGGCCCUAAUGGAUUAUGGAAGUUGUGUAAUUUUGGAAGCACCUCCACCAAUCAUAAGCACUUUAAGAAGCCUGAAGAAAUGGGCAUUGAAGAAGACAAUAUCAGAAAGUACAGUACACCUGCAUAUACAGCUCCCGAGGUUGAAUGGAAAACUAUGUUUUUUGAUAAGUUAGUGCUUUUGGUUGAAAAAAUGUCGACUCCCAGUUUCUUCCUUUUCCUUUAUAGGAGGAAACCUAUAAAUGAGAAAGUAGACAUUUGGGUAAGUCAGUUGUACUUUAUUUUUCUUCAAUAAGUCUGGGGUAUAAUUUGCCUCUUGUGAAGUUUCCUGUGCUUUUCAAUACAACCAAAACCUGAAGUUUACCUUUUUGUACCCAUUCAUGUGUCUGAUAGGUUUUCUUCUCAUAACAGCACAGAGAAAAGAUUGAAGCAACAGACUGGGAACUCCAGCAAAGAAAAUCCGUUUCCCCUGGCCCAGACUCUGAUCUUUGGCAGGCUUUCUCUGAGGCAGGUGCCCAGACAACAAUAGCAAGUCUGUUAGGACCCAAAAUGGCCAUCACAACAAACCAGCCACAGAAGGAACUUCUGGCCCUGAAACUUGGGGUUUUGGAACAGAGAGUUUUACAGCCACCCCUGCUGCCGCCUCUAAUAUUUCCAGACCCUCCAUUGGAGGCAAUAAUGGCCAACUGUUUGUUGACUCAAAGAAGAUUGAGGGCAAGCUGGCUACUCAACCUGCUGAAUGGGCUGGUUUCUAACUUAUUUGGUGAGGUUAUAUCAUCCUGGGCAGUUCUGGCCAUAAGAGAUGGGAAUAGGUAAAAAAGGCAAAACAAAAAGGGAUUCAUGGCUUUCUGGGCAUGAUUAUGCU